rnacentral:lncRNA from 1 species
CCGCAAGCUCCCAGGAAACACAGCUGCUUGCUCGGUCAUGUGAAUUUUCUCUGGAGAGGUUGUUUUGGGAAACCAUUGGGCUGAAGAAGAGUCUGUGAGAAGGGACAAAAGGUGAGAAAGGUGUUAUUUUAUUCCAGUCUCCUAUCAUUCCUUGGUCAAAAUUCAUCACAUUCUGUACUAAAUCUGAGGCACUUCAGAGUGUUAUGAAGUCUCCCAGAGCUUUCGUGAUCUGGUUGGGUUGGCCUACAAUCUGGAGCCGAUGCAACUGUUACUAUUUUGGGCACAGUAGAGAUUUUUGGAGGUGAGGUAUGACUGGGGUUCUCUGAUUCUGGCACCAGUAAAUCUAGGAAGGUGUAUAUUUUGGUCCAGUUUACUUAAUGAAGUUAAAUAUUUGCAACCCAGUAACUCCCCUCCUAGAGAAAAUCCAACAUGUACAAUCCAAGAGCUAUGUAUAAAAGAGUUUUACUCAUAAUUGAAAUAACUGGGAAAAGAAAAAGAGGAAAAACAAACAACCAAAAAUUCUUUAAAUGUGUGUCAAGAGUAGCUGGAAUAUGAAAGGCAGGAAGAAAAUGAAUAAGCUAUAGCUACAGACAUCAAAUUAGGGGAAUAUCAUAAAACUGAUGUUAAGCAAGAGGACCAAAUCACAAAAGAAUGUGCACAAUGGGAUUGUAUUUAGAUAUCAAAUAUUAGUCAAAAAUACAUUAUUUAUAUACAAAAAAUUCACCAUUCAAACAGAAUUUAAUUCCUGGAAUGAGGGAAGUAGGUAAGAUUGGAAAGUGUUCUUUCUAUUAGAAUUCCUGAAGUACAAGGACUAUACUACUUGUUAUGCUAUCUAGUGGAUAUUUGUGUGCACAUUUCAUUAUUAUUUUAGUUAUGUUUAGCAUUUUAGUUACAUCAGAUAUAUGUUUAAUUUAUUUUUCAUAUGUAGACAUUUUACAAAACCAAAAAAUUUAUAUAGUGCUAUCUAGAAGAUAAACAAUGAUGUGAUUAAAGUUGUUAAAUAACGCUUUAUUGGUUGGAAUGUUUAAUUAUGUUACAAAAAUAACUUCAUGAUUUAAUCUUUUUUUUUUUUUUUAAAGAAUUUUUUUCAAUGUUUAUUUAUUUUUGGGACAGAGAGAGACAGAGCAUGAACGGGGGAGGGGCAGAGAGAGAGGGAGACACAGAAUCGGAAAUAGGCUCCAGGCUCUGAGCCAUCAGCCCAGAGCCCGACGCGGGGCUCGAACUCACGGACCGCGAGAUCGUGACCUGGCUGAAGUCGGACGCUUAACCGACUGCGCCACCCAGGCGCCCCAAUUCAUGAUUUAAUCUUAAGUUAGACAAUUAUAACUUUACUCUUAAUUGCUUUUUCUAUUAUAUUGAACUCAAAAUAAAUACAAAUUUUAAUGUUUUAGAGAAACAUUGGACAACUAAUUGCAAGAGAGUGAGUUGGUUACCUUUUGAUCGUUUGGAGUUUGGCAAUAGAUUGACCCUCCAAAUACACUUAUGAGCUAAUGCUCCACUCUACCAAUAAGUUCUUGAGAUAUUCUAUUCGAGAAGAGUCAUAUUGCUAUCUUCUCGUUGCUAGUGAAAUAAAUAUAAUUGCUUAUUCGAAAUUGAAUAGGUAGGACACUUGCAUAAGAGUAAUUUAAAUGAGCAGAUUUCAGACUAAAAUAGAAUGCUGUGUCCAUCUUAUUCAUUAAGACUAUGAGAUUAUUCAUUUCACCUAUUCAAUGGGCAUAUAGGUAAUAACUGAGAUAAGACAGGCAGAAUAAUUUUAGACAGAUUGUAACUGAUUGAUUUGACAAACCGUUAAAAGUAUGACAUCUCUAUUAAAGUUGUUAUUUUAAAUAUAAUUAUUGACAAAAAUAGUUGAGAGGCUCUCCCAGUUGUGCUGAAACCUCUCAAAAGAAAAUAAGACCUAAUAUGAUAAAAUAAUAAAAGUGGGUGAUGUCAUUUACAUAAUAGGUCAAUAUGUCCUAUAGAUACUCAGUUAAGAGAAUGACAAUGACUUUGGAUUCAGAGAACGUGGGAAAAUCAUAUAAUCAUUUUGCAACUUUAUUUACUUGCCUAAUGUGAAAAAUUGUAUUUAUCUUUCAAGAUUAAAUAAAAAAUAGAUAUGCAUGAAAAUGAUUUUACACAAUACUAUGACAAUAAAUUUAAACAAGUCAUUAAUAUCAAAACAAAUUAUCAAUCCCUUUUUAUUCCUCCAAAACAUUAGUAUCAUGUUUCUUUAGAGUUCAAUUACUAAAAUAAAAAAAUAAUAAUUAAUGAAAAGUGAUAAUCUUCUAGUUUAAAGCUAAGUCAUGUUUUUCUAGAUAAAUUGAUCAUAUUAAUCUAAUAAAGUUUUUUUUAAAGAAGAAAGCACACAAGAAAUUUGAAUCUGUCAAAACAGAUGGCAAAUCAAAUCUAAUAUAUUUCAUUUUUCUUUAUUUUCUGUUAUUCAUUGCAUUUUUGUUGAUGGAACUCAUGUAUCCUCUUAUUCAACAAAAACUAAUUUAAAUAUUUUUUCAAUUGAUAAACAAAAAUUAUUUUCCACCCAUAUUAUUACUUCUAACUAUAUAUAGGGUAUAAGAAAUUAAAAUACAGAUAUACACAUAAAAUUUGCUACCUUAAAUGGAUGUUUGGUAGUUUCCAGAAUUCAUAUAUUACUUUUAUUUGUAAUGUUGUUGUAGUUGUUAUUAAUGCUUUCUUUCAUUAAUGCAUUCAAGUACAUUCAUUAAACAACUAGCCUGCUUUGUGAACACAAUGGAUUUACUUCUUACCAUCCCCAAUAAAUAAUCUAAGUAUUUCCUAAGUAACUACUACUUCAGACUCAUCUCCUACAUACACUCUUUUUCAGAACCAAUUGAUUCUUCAAGUCAUUCUUAUAUGGAAGUUUUAGUAUUAACUCUAAAUGAAAAAAUAAUAAUCAAAAGUGAGCUGUGUGUCCCCAUUUUUCCUAAGUAAUAUAUCUGCUGAAAUAUUGAUUAUUUAAGGUGGUUUACAAAAUACAGGAAAAUCAUUAUAAACAAUCACCUAUAACUAGGCUAAAGACUCUGUAUUAAAACUUUGCAUUUGCUGAAAACAGGCAAAAAACCCAUAAGACUUUAAUGAGGUACAGAGUGGCUAUUUUUGGUUGCUGUCCAGAUGGUGGCAGGCAGGGGCAAAGACUACUUUGAACACCUUCCUCAAACCCCUCAUUCCACUGAGAAAGUUUGGAUUUGUUUCUUUUCUUUGUUCAUGAGUUUUCUUUAAAGAACACAAAUACACAACCAUUACGUGACUUCACUUUCCAGCCAGGAAAUGUCUUGCCAUAUUAUUUCACUAUUUUUGUGCGCCUGUUCUUGGCAUUUUAACAACAUGACAGGGAUUAAGUACACAACAGCACACAGCAUGAAUUUAGCAAUAGAAAUCAGUAAAUGUUCAGCUUUUUAACUCACAAUCUGUUAUUCCUGUACUAAUGGAUUUUGUUCUUAUUAAUAGCUAUAGUGAAUUUUCCAGUGAGAAGGUCCAGGAUACACUUUAUAUCCAAAAUUUUCAAAAUAUAAUGUUUAGGCAGAGAUCUUAAUUAUAUUUUAGCAUAUUUUAACUGAAUUUUACUAUUAAUGCAUCAAACUCGUUAAAUAAUUAAAAUUAAAACACAGUGGAAAGUCAACAUCUGGUUCCUAUGUACAACAAUCUGUUUUCUCAAAUUUAACAACACUUUUACUAUAAUACACAAUGUAUGUAUACAUUUUUUUUUCAGAUUUGUGUUUUCUUCCAGAGAUUUCUUUUAAGGCAUGUGCAAUAAAACACAAACACAUAAGUUUCUCUCCUUCUUUACACAAUAGAACAUACACUCUAUAUACUAUCUGCUCAUUUUGGAGACCUCUCCAUAUCAGAACAGACAUAUCUUCCCAUUUGAUAGGUGAACAGCAUUUUGUUAUAUGAAUGUGAAUUAAUUUAUAUAACCAGCACCCCAAAAUUGAUUACAUAGUUGUUUAUAAUCUUUUGUUAAUACAAGUGAUGCUAUAAUGGUUCAUCUUGUACAGGUGUCAUUUCAUGCAUGCUAUUACAUCUUUUAAGUGAGUCCUCAGAUAGAAAAUGGUAUUUCCAUUAGCAAAUGUUACAGAUACUUCAAAACAUCUGUAUAUAUAUUCAAUCCUAAGAAUUUUACCAAUCUGUACACCACCAGCAAUAUAUUAAAAUGCUUCUUUCCCUAGAGCCUUGCAAAGUAAAUGUAUUAUUAAACACUUACUUUUUUGUCAAUUGGAUAUAUCUGUCAUUCUCAGUCCUAUCAGGCCCAAUGCCACUUUCUUUAUUAUAAAGGAAACUGUAAUGCUCUCCUGUACUCUGCUGCAGUGAAAUUCAUUCUGUACCCCUCUAUCUACAUAAUUUCAAAAUUAAACCAGUAUGCUGCUAUAACUCUAAUAAUGGAAAAAUAAAAUAAAAUUUUAAGAAAAUAUGUUUCCAUAUGUAAAUAUACAGAUGGGCCUACAAGAAGAAUCAUAAUUAAGCAGUCAGAUGUGUGUACUAAAUAGAUUUACCAUACAGGCAGAGAUGUGUUGGUAACUCAGACACCUUGAAUGGAGGUGGCAUGGCUGAUGUGAUAAUACAAAAUUGUGGACAGCUCUUGAUAAAGAUGCAAAUCAAAUUAGAUAUAUCUAUUGUUUCAUAAGGUAGUUAUAUUGCCAAGAUAUUCGGUAUAAUAUAAAUCCCCUCCUCUAAGUAUUUUGUGAAAACGUAUAAACCUGACAGAGGUUGCUAAGCUAAUUAUAAGCACCUCUUUUUUUUUGUUUGUUUAUUUAUUUACUUUGAGAGAGAGAGAGCAAGGGAGGGGCAGAGAGACAGUGAAAGAGAGGGAAUCCCAAGCAGGUUCCUCACUGUCAAGUCGUGGGACUUCAACCCAUGAACCACAAAUUCAUGACCUGAGCUGAAAUCAAGAGUGGGAUGCAUAAUCGACUGAGCUAUCCAGGCACCCCUAUAAACAACUCCUAUUUGUUAAGUUUAUUUAUUUGUUUUUGAGAGAAAGAGAGAUGGCAGGGAGGGACAGAGAGAGAGAGGGAGAGAGAGAGAGAAUCCCAAGCAGGUUCCACACUGUCAGCGCAGAGCUGGACAUGGGCCAUGAACUCAUGAAACCAUGAGAUCAUGGCCUGAACUGAAACCAAAAGUCAGGAGCUCAACCUACUGAGCCAACCAGGCACCCCAACCAAGUCUUUUUAAUGUUUGAAUGUCUGGCAAAAUUUUGAAAAUUGUGUGGGACACCAGCUUUUUUGCCCUUUAUGUGACUAUAACAGUCAUUGCGGGGCAUCUAGCAUCAAUGCCCCCUAGGAGAUAAAUAUCUGUUGUCACUUAAAUCGUUUUGCCAACUAAAAAUACUCACCCAAAUUUUCAAUAGUCUUCUUUGGGGUGUAAAGCUAGUACAUUAGAUAAAAUGGUAUCUUUGAGUACUUUAACUUUUCUUUAUUUUAUUAUAGUUUGAUAUUUGUUCAUUGCCAGAAACUCUGGAUAAUUUCUAAAAACUAUCUGAAGACCGUGGAAUUCAUUAACAGAUUCAGGCAAAAUUUGGAGAGCAGUCAGUACUUGGGAAAAGGUACUAGCAAUAGAAAGAUUUCUUGUUUUUACAACUAUUCACUUGAAAGAAAACCAUAGUCAGUUCUAUGCAUAAAGGCCGAAACUCUGAUAGAAAACUUGCAUUUUUUCCAAACUUAAGAGCUAGAAUACAAAGUUUGAAGCAGGUACAAGAGUUAGGAAAAGAGAACAGGAUUCACAGAAUGGAGAUAUUUUGAGUUGAGAAGCCUCCAAAUCGCCAGUUAAACUCUGUCCAAAUAUAUGUUCUAUCACUGAACUGGGUAUGGGGCAAACCCAACUCAAACCAGCUAAAUAUUAAAGAAUUAAAUUGUAAUUUGAGUUUCUGAGAUUGCAGGGGUGCCUGGGUGGCUCAGUCGGUUGGGCAUCCGACUUUGGCUCAGGUCAUGAUCUCACGGUUUGUGCGUUGGACUCUGGGCUGACAGCUCAGAGCCUGGAGCCUCCUUCAGAUUCUUUGUCUCCCUCUCUCUCUGCCCCUCCCCAAGUCAUGCUCUGUCUGUCUCCGUCUCUCAAAAAUAAAUAAAUGUUAAAAAAAUUUUUAAGAAAAAAAAAAUAAUUUGAGAUUGCAUUUAGGUCCAACCAAGGCAAAUGCCUGCUAAAAUAAAGAAACAAACAGAAAAUUAUUCAGAGGACUAUAUUCUUCAUAACAUGCAAGGCUUCUGUAUUCGAGUUAAGAUUUAGAAUUAACAUAUCAAGAUGAAAAAUCAAGAAAAUGUCACACAGCCUCAUUACCAAGAACAAAGACUCUGUUGUUAAAAUUAGUAAGCAUGGAAUUUAAGGCAGCUAAUAUCACUAUGUCCAAUAGGAAAGGAAGAUAUACUCACACUGGAUAAAAAGAUAAGAUGUCUCAUUAAUAAAUAGACUAUAUCACAUAUAUACAUAUGCAUAUAUAUAUAUAUAUGUGUGUAUAUGAAUCAAAGGGAAAUAUAGGGUCUAAAAAUACAGUAUUUGAAAUAAAUCACUUUCAGGUAGUUUUCACAGCAAAAAAGAGAUGACAGAGGAAGAAGAAAUUAAAUUAUAAGAUAGGUCAAAAGAAAAUAUCUGAUCUGAAAAGUGAAAAAUAUUGUAAAAAAAUGCAGCUUCAGCAAAUUCUGCAACCCUGUCAAACAGAUUAACUUCUGUAUUAACUUAGAGUCUUAGAAAUAGAGAAGGAACAAAUGAAAAAGAAAAAAAAUAUUGGAUUUAAUUAUAUAUAUAUAUAUAUAAAUAUAUAUAUAUAUUUGAAAAAUGAUAGUCAAGUUUUCCCCAGAUAUGGUGUGUGUGUACAUAUAUAUGUAUUUUUUAAAUACAUAUAUCUGUGUGUGUGUGUGUGUGUGUAUAUAUAUAUAUAACUUCAAUCAAUCCAAUGACCUCUAAGCAGGUAAAAUACAAGGAAAAUCACUUCUCUGUUCCUUAUAGUCAAAUUACUGAAAAGCACAGAUCUUUAAAUUAAAAAAAUCUGGACUUAAAUCUAGCUUAUCAGAAACUAUUGAGGCCAGAAGACCAUCCCUAAACAUCUCUAAAAUGAAACGUCUCUAAAAUGCUAAAAGAAAAUAACACUUAAUGAAGAAUCUGUAUUUAAUGAAAAUAUUCCUUAAAAAUAAAGGCAAGAGUAGCGCCUAGGUGGCUCAGUCAGCUAAACGUCUGACUCUUGAUUUCAGCUCAGGUCUUUAUCUUGUGGUGGUGAGAUCAAGUCCCACAUUAGGUUCUGUGCUUAGUGUGGAGCCUGCUUGGGGUUCUCUCUCCCUCUCUGUCCCUCCCCCACUCAUGCUCUCUUCCUCUCUCUCUCUCUCUCUCUCUCUCUCUCAAAAUAAGUAAACAUUAAAAAAAAGGAAUGAAGUCAAGAAUAAUGAUGACUUUUUUUUUGAGUUUAUUUAUUUAUUUUGAGAGAGAGAGAGCAUGUGUGCAUGCACAGGCAGGGGAGGGGCAGAGAGAAAGAUGAGAGAAAAGAACCUAAGGAGGCUCUGCAGUAUCAGCACAGAGCUCCAAGAGGGGCUCGAUUACAUGAACCGUGAGACCAUGACCUGAGCCGAAAUCAAGAGUCAGAUGCUUAACCAGGUGUCUCAGGAUAUCUUUAGAUAAAAGAAAAUUAAGAGAAUUUGUUGCCUACAGAACUUUAUUUAAAAAAAAAAAUGUCAAGGGGCGCCUGGGUGGCGCAGUCGGUUAAGCGUCCGACUUCAGCCAGGUCACGAUCUCGCGGUCCGGGAGUUCGAGCCCCGCGUCAGGCUCUGGGCUGAUGGCUCAGAGCCUGGAGCCUGUUUCCGAUUCUGUGUCUCCCUCUCUCUCUGCUCCUCCCCCGUUCAUGCUCUGUCUCUCUCUGUCCCAAAAAUAAAUAAACGUUGAAAAAAAAAAUUAAAAAAAAAAAAAAAAUGUCAAAAGCAAUUAUUUGAACUGAAGGGAAAUGAAAAGCAUAUAUUGACUCUGAUCUUAUGGAAUAAUGAAGAGCAUUAAAAUUGCAAACAUCUAGGUAAAUAUAAAGGACUGUUUUUCCUCUAAGUACAUUGUAAACCCUAUACGAUAUUUAUUUCUUUUAAUGUUUAUUCAUUUUUGAGAGAAAGAGAGAGACAGAGUGGGGAAGAGGCAGAGAGCUAGGGAGACACAGAACUGGAAGCAGCCUCCAGGCUCUGGGCUAUCAGCAUAAUUAACCAUGAGAUCAUGACCUGGGCUGAAAUCAAGAGUCAGAUGCUUAACUGACUGAGCCACCCAGGAGCCGUAACCCUAUAUCAUAGUUAGAACAGAACCUAUAUUAGUGUCUUAUGGGGUGUUUUAACAUCCUCAGAUGUUUCUGAAUUCUAAAGCAUAAAGAAUGGGGUGGUUGAUAAAUGGACUUAAAUCACUGUUAUGGUCUACAUAUUACUUUCAGUAAAGCAACACUUAUUCUAAAUAAAUUGAAAGUCUAAGAAUGUAUAUUGUAAUUUCUAGAGAAAUCAUGCAUGAACGUUUGAUUUUCUUGUCUUUCCUAAUAACUGGUAGCUUAAAUAUUUGAUUUCUUUAUUCAUUCUCUCUCUUUGUCUCCCUGUGUCUCUCCUUGGACUUUUUUUUUUUUUUUUUUGAGGUUUAUUUAUUUUUGAGAGAGCACAAGUGGGGGAGGGGCAGAGAAGGAAACAGGAUCUGAAGCAGGCUUUGCACUGACAGGCUGACAGCAGCGAGCCCAACAGGGGCCUUGAACUCAAGAACCACAAAAUCAUGACCUGAGCCAAAGUCCGACGCUCAACCAACUGAGCCACCCAGUUGCCCCAUUUCCUUCGACUUUUAAAUUAAGAUAAUAUAAUAACUCUGUUUGGUUUAUUUAAGCCAUUGCAAAAUAUUUCGUUUUGAUUUUAUUUUUUAUGUGUCAAUAUUUCUAUAUUUUCUGUUAUUCUUUGUUACGGUAGUAAUUUUGAUUCCCUUUUCAUCUUCUAUAUAAAAAUAGCUUUUUGUCAAAGGUUUCUAGUUCUUUUGUAUCACCAAUCAUAACCCAGGUGUUUCCUGAACUGAAGAAGUUCCCUGGGAGUCGAUUGGGAAGGUGUUUACAUGGACUUCUUUAUAUCUGCCAUCUCAGAGACCAUAUGGAUAAUUCUUUAUAGUGCCAUGGUAUCUAUGCUCCUUUAGUGCAACCAGAGCAGACUAAGGAGCAGGUGAUUUGUUUUUCCACAUCAAGAUAAGAUGCUCAACUGCAGGGCAAUGAAUUUUUGUUGGAUCUCUGCGAUGUUCCACUGCUUGGCCCAUCCUUUCCUCCCACACACCGUGUGCACGAACUCCACCAUGAAGAGACUUACAUGCAUUUUGGAGUGUGAGGAUUAAAUAUGUUUUUCCAUUUCACUAAAAAGUAUUGACCAUGCUUUUUUGUUUGUUUGUUUUCCUAUAUUUCUAUUGUUGCUUUUGGUUGUUCUCCAGGAAAGAAAGAGGACAGUGCUGACUCACAGAGUAACGUUUACAUGGGAAUUCAAUACUAUUUUACAUUCAUAUAAGUGCACUGCUUUUUUUCCUCUUAAAAUCAGUGUACUAUGUUAAUUUUCUUUUGAAAAAAAAAAAGGUAUAGCAUUUUAGUCAUUUUGUAAUCUGGACCAUCUCAAAAGAAACUACCUGUUUUAUGAGGAAAGGUUUAUGUCCUAGUUUGAAAUAGAAUAUUGGAUUUAAUUAGGCAUUUUAUUUUUAAGAGAUAUGCAUUGACUCCAUUAUCACAAAUAACAGGUAAAUAUUUAUGACGAAUUAAACUCUCAUAAAAUAUGCUCUCCCAAUGUGAGGUAAAAGCCAAUAGUAGUGUAAACUGUCUACAUUGUAGAAGAAAAGAAUUUUUGAUUGAUUAAUAAUGGUGUAUGUUACUUCUUUUUCACUUUGCUAAACUUUUCCUGGUAGGCUACAUAUCAAAAUAAUUCCUAAUUAUGAGUCAGUAACCUAAAUAUGACAUUUUAUUUAUUUCAUCCAACUUACAAAAUAAAUAAGCCUUAUUUCACAGACUGCUCAUGUGCUGGGUUACAUUUCUAUAACACAUUUCUAAUAAUCAAAUACAUGCCUUUUUUGUUCACAUUUACAGCUGUCUCUUUGUAGAAGAAGGAUCAAUAAUCAUCUGACUGGGGUUUUAACAGAGAAAGAUAAAGAGCAAAACCUAAGGAAAGCUCACACUAACACAUAAUUGGAAAUAGAAUUUGAAUGUUUUCCAAACAGACAAUUGUAGUCUUUCUUACAUGCAGCAGACAUUUUCAUUAAAUAGAUUCCUUGGUAAUAAAUUGUAUAUUUACAAGGGCUUUGUUUGCAGUGUCCCUUUGAGAUGAUACAUCAAGUUCAGAAGCAUCAAUAAAAGUGACUUUAAUAUCCAGGAAAAUACUGAUGCAGCUGUUUGUUUUCCAACAGUGCCAGUGACUCAUAAAUAACAAAGUAACACAGGCAUACCUUGGGCAAAGUGGCUGUAUUAUCCUUUCUAUGACUCUAAUACCAGUAAAUCAGUUACUGACUUCAAAUUUCUUAGAAAAUAUGCCUUCUAGUUCUAGACAACGUUCAACUCUAAACAAUAACACCUGAAACAAAAUCCGUGACCAAAUAAGUGGAUUUCCACAUCGAAUAAAGUUGAACUACUCUUUAAGAGUCAUUCUAGAAGUUUUGUGCGAUUUCAUAGUUUCAAUAUCUCAUUAUUUAAGGAAGAAGAAUUUUUAAUCAGCCUCACCUGGAAAGAGUCAACCAAAAUGAAAAUUAAACCAAGGGAACUAUGCCUAAAAAAUACAGAAAAGAAUGAUAUCUUGAAUUUAAUAAGCCACUUUACAAAGAGGUAAACAUAUUUAUAUAUUUGUCUUUAUAAAAAUUCUUAUUAUGUUUGUAGAGUAGAUAUUACUGCCUCAGGGGAAAUAGACACUUUUAUUUGUAGUCAUAGAGUCCUAAAUGGAGUCUGAACUAAAAUAUAAGAGUAACGGGGCACCUGGGUGGCUCAGUCGGUUAAGCGUCCGACUUCGGCUCAGGUCAUGAUCUUGCGUCCCUGAGUUCGAGCCCCGCGUCAGGUUGUGUGCUGACAGCUCAGAGCCUGGAGCCUGUUUCAGAUUCUGUGUCUCCCUCUCUCUGACCCUCCCCCGUUCAUGCUCUGUCUCUCUCUGUCUCAGAAAUAAAUAAACGUUAAAAAAAAUUAAAAAAAAAUUUAAAAAAAUAAAAUAUAAGAGUAUCAGUUCCCAAUCCAGUGCUACAUUAAGACUACACUGUAUUAUAUUUUUAAAUAGUUGAAAGCGCACUGCCACUAUCCACAUCACCCCAAGGCUGCUUGACUAUGUAAAAGGUUGUUUAUAUAGGUUCCAGGAGAAGCUUACCUGUUUGGUUAGCUUUGCAUAAACAAUCCUCCACCCCUUUAUCAAAUCCUCAUUUAUGUCCUCAAUACAAGUAUAUUUCUCAGCUACAUUCUUUAGUUUGUAUGGUCUUUAUAACUGUCUGUCUUUUUACAGUGACUCCAUUUCUUCUCCCCAUCUUUAAAAUAAUCACAUGGAAAAAUGUCCUAUUAGUGACAAUUUUGCUGCUCAUAUUCCAGAAAAAUAAUGAAUAAACUAUCUCUAAAUAAAAAAAUAGCAAUAUUCAAGGAUUAAUUAUGGUGAAAACAUCACAUCACAUCACAUCACAUCACAUCACAUCACAUCAUAACAUAACAUAGCAUAACAUAACAUAACAUGACAUCAACAUAACAUAUAAAAAGAGAAGUUUGUUUUCCGAACUUCCCAACUUUGCUUUCUGUACUUCUAUACUUUUUUGUUUCUUGCUAUACGUCUUUACUGAUUUGUACUUCUCUCCUUUCAUAUUGUUCUUAGUAUUUCCUUCUCUAUUGGAAAAAUGUUGAAUAUUAAUUUAUACUUUAAUUUGAAAAUUAUCUCAGCAUUUUUCAUCUUCCAAGGGUAUUUUUUAUGACAAGCUUUCACUCCUGCUAACAACUUGCAUUGAUUUCAUGUCACUUGGGAGAAAGGAUUUGGGAGUAUAGAUGUUCCCCAUAACCCUGAAAUCAAAGCCCACAGAGGCUCAUCAUCGGCCUAAAUAGCAGUACUCUGCCUACUAGCUGUUCUAUUAGUAAUGCACCACUCCCUAUAAAGGUCUGUGAAAUUACCUGAACAAAGUUAUUAUAAUGGUGAAUAUCAUUCACCAAAAGAGAAAUUAAUUAGCCUUAAAUAUUUAAUUUUAAAUUCAUCUAAGUAUACUUUGCAAGCCAGUAUCUUAUGUUUAAUGCUGCCAUUUGGUUCAUUUACGACAACAUAUGGUAAAAGGAAAAAUGUUUGUGUGUGUUUCUUUAAACAGAAUCAGAGCUGAUGGGAUUAUUGGGUUAGGGAGGGGAAGCUAGUUAUUGAAUUAUAAAUUCAGUAAUUGGAUCUGUCUGGUUCUCUGUCCUCUGAGUUUAAUGCAGGGACAUCAAACACUUCUGCUCACCUUCUGGAUCUGAGUACUUCCUAUCAGUCAUGUUAUCAGCAGGCUUUUUACUGUUUGAAAGCACUGAAUCUCUGGGGACAGCUUAUUAUAAAGAAAAAAAACACUGAAUCUUCAUCUAUUUCUGUUAAAAAAAUGUAUCAUCAAAAGUCCUUUUUCUGGUAAGCUUAAUAUAAAGACAUCAAUAUGCACAGCUGUCACCUUGUAACUUUCAUAUUUUUAUGUACAAAAUCACAGUGCUUUCUCUGUCAGAUUAUUCCAGAAAGUAGCUACAGAAGAUAAACCUACCUAAUAAAUGUUUUAAAAGAUUCAGACUUUCCACAGUUAGGGUUUCAACAAAGAGUUUAUAAAUCUAUUAUUGGAAUUGAGCUUUUUCAGUAUUCAGACAUCAAAUUUGAAAUCAUAUGAUGUUUUACAGUAACAAGUGUUCAGGUACAAGUAUUACUUGUACUAUACAAGUAAUACAGUAACAAGUGUUACUUAUGGAAAUAUAAUAGAUAUUUUUGAACCACUUUCUUUUUAAUAUUUCAUAGAAAUGAGUACUGUAAUAAUUUAUCUCCACUUGUAUCUAUUAUCAAUAUCAGUUUCUAGUGCAGAACAGUCUUUAAAAUGAUAAUACCAAACAUCUAAUUUGCUCCUAGUAUGUGCUCCAUGCUUUUGUAUUGAUCUUCUGUUCUUUACAAUCUAAAUGUAGACAUUAUUAUUCCAUUUCACAGACAGAGAAAGCGAGACCCAGAAAAGCAAUGUAAAUUGCCAAUAUCGCAUAAAGGGUCAGCUUUUGGUUUCACUGGUUGUCUGUAUUGAUUUCCUGUUUAUAAUUUUAUUGAUUCCUGCUCUCUAAUUAUUAAUAUUUCUUUUCUUCUGUUUGCUUUAGGCUUGCUCUUUUUCUCUCAUUUUCUGAGAUGGAAGCUGAGAUUACUGUUUGCAGAUCUUUCUUUUCUUAUAUAUAUGGUCAAUGUUUCAGAUUUCCUUGUAAGCACUGCUUUCACAGCAUUUUAUAAAUUUUAUUUUCAUUUCAUUUAGCUCAAAUAAUUUUUAAAAUUUCUUUUAUGACUUCUUCUUUGACCUAUGUGUCAUUUUGAAGUAUGUAUUUAAGCUCCAAAUAUUUUGCAAUUUUCCAGCUAUCUUUCUAGCUUAAUUCUAUUAUAGCCUGAGAACAUACUUUAUAUGAUUUCUAUUCUAUUAAAUUUGUUAAGGUACGUUUUAUGGCCCUGUUCUGUCUUUGUGAAUGUUCCAUGUGAACUUGAGAAGAAUGUGUAUUUUGCUGUUAUUAGAUGAAGUAUUUUACAAUUGACAAUUAGAUUCCUUUGGUUGGUGUUGCUAUUCCAUUUAGCUAUAUCCAUCCUAAUUUUCUGCUACUUGAUCUAUCAAUUACUGAUAGAGGUGUUUUAAAGUUUCAAGUAUAAGACUGAGUUUGUUGCUUCUUUCUGUGAUGUCACAGUUCUGCCUCCCCUAUUUUGAUGUUCUGUUGCUAAAUGCAUACCAGUUAUAGAUUAAAAUGUCUUCAUGGAGCAUUAACCCCUUUAUCAUAAUGUUAUGCCUUGUUUUCUUCCUGAUAAUAUUCCUCAUUCUCAACUCAACUUUGUCUGAAAUUAAUGUAACUACUCCAAAUUUUGAGUAGUGUUACCAUGGUACAUUCCCCCCUUCUGUUUAUUUUUAAUCUCUCUGUGUUUUUAUACUAACAGUGGUUUCUUAUAGCCAAUGUAUAGUUAGGUCUUUUUUUAAAAAAUAGAUUCACCUGACAAUCACAGUUUCUUAAUUGUAAUAUUCAGAUCAUUUACAUUUAAAGUGAUCAUUAAUGUAAUUGAAUUAAUAUCUACCACACUUUUUAGCUAUUUUCUAUUUUUCACACUUCUUUGUCUCAUUUUUUCUCUUCCCUUUGUUUUCUGCCUUCUCUAGUUUUAAUGAACAUUAUAUAUGAUUCCAUUUUCUCUCAUCUCUUAGCAUAUCAAGUUUACUUCUUUUUCAUUUAAGCGUGGGGAUUGGCCUAGAAUUUGCAAUAUACUUUUACAACUAACCUAGGCCACUUUCAAAUAACACUGUGACACUUCAUGGCUAGUGCAGAUAACUUAUAACAAAUUAUUCCCAGGACAUAGGUCCCUCCAGUCCCUUAUAAUAUUGCUGUUGUUUGUUUCACUUAUUCAUAGGAACAUACAUUAUUUCUGCUACUAUUUUGAAGUUGCAGUUACCUAUCCUAUAACAUGAGAAUGAGGCAACUAAGAUCUUGUUUUAUCAUUUAUUCCUUUUCUCAUACUCUUUCCAUUUUUAUGUAUAUCUUGAGUUUUUGAUCUAUAUUAUUUUUCUUCUCUUGUAAGAACUUCAGAGAGAUAUUUAUUGUGAAGAAGAUCUACAGGUAACAAAUUCUCUCAAUUUUUGUUUGAGAAAGUUUUUUUUGUCCCCUUCACUUUUGAUAAAUUCUUAUCUGUUACCAUUAUAAUAAUUAGCCCUGGGAAAAUAAACAUAGGUUGAUCUGAAUCAAAAUGAAAUAAAUCAUGUUGAAAUGUAUACUUUGCUUUUACUUUCCCAUAUCUUACAGAGAUUGAUACACUAAGUGGAUCCUUGAUUAUUUGGGACAAAUAUAAAAAAUAAUGCUUAGGUUACUUUCUAAUAUUUCAUUAGGAAAAGCCAUUAUAAGCCUCAUAAGUCAGGAGGGCCUGAAUUGCUCAGUUGGUUAAGCAUCCGACUUCAGCCCAGGUCAUGAUCUCAUGGUUCGAACCCUACAUCUGUCUCUGUGCUGACAGUUCAGAGCCUGCCCUGCCUCGGAUUAUCUGUCUCCCUCUCUCUCUCCUCUUCCCUCUCUCAUGCUGUGUCUCUCUCUCAAAAAUAAAUAAACACUAAUAAAUAAUAAAUAAAUUAAUUAAUUAAUUAAUUUAAUAAAUAUUAAAUUAUAUGUUAAAUAUAAUUAGAUUGUCUAACAAGACAAUCUAAUUAUAUUUAACAUAUCUAUUAUUGUGCUCAUUCCUUCAAUGGUUAUUAGACUUAUAUAAGCUUAGAGAAAUCCUUCAAGCUCUAUGAUAUAAAACAUAUAUAAUAUGGCUAAUGAUAACAUUAAGCAAAAAUGCAAAUUACCAAAUAAUUUUACAUGUCCUUUUUUAUUUUUGCAUUUUAUAAGAAUGAGCAUUUUUUACUUUACCAUUUACAGAAGUGAGCAUCUGAAUGUCUUCAACUCCCUCUGAACUUUUAUUCUCUGGGAAAUCAAAUUGUAUUUCAUUACCUUUUUUUUUUUUUUUGGCAAUUUAUCAUUUCUUAGUAGUUUCAGCAGCAAAUUCCAGUUCUCUAAAAUAAUGAAAUAUUCACAUACAGGUUAUCAAGUACUCUAGAACAAAAUGGUAGAUGCUUUUUUCUCUCACUUCAAGGAAAUAUAUAUUUAUACAUAUCUAUACCCAAAUUUAUGUUACCAUAUAGUGAGUGCAUACACACACACACACACACACACACACACACACACACACACUAAGAAUAGCAUAUUUACUUGCACUGGGACACAGCUGUGUAUUACAGCUAUACCUCUUUGAAUAUAAGGCAAUAUGCUAGUUUCUGUUAUCACAAUUCCCAGUCACAUUUAACCAUGCACCCUAUAUUUUAUUUAUACUCAUAAUCCUGAUGCAAAUGAAAGAAGCAUAUUACGGAAGUAAUGAGAUUCAGUAACUAGUUUUAUGUACUGAAACUUUUUUUUUUCUUUCUGAGCAGAGGCAGUCAUAUACUUUAUGUAUCUACCUUCAAUUCACUUCUAAGCAGUACAAGGAUAGUUUUUUCUUCCUUUUUUUAAAAAAAUUUAAAACAGAUUUAGUAGCAUGUAGAAAUUAUGCAUGUGACUAAUGGUGACAGGUGUGUUUGUACAAAUACGACCCAAAUACAGCUUUAUGUAAUCAUUUCUUUCUAUUAAAAUAGGAUGCAUCAAAAAGAAAAUGAAAUAUCUAAAUCCAUCUCCUUCCUCAUGAUUAACGAAUCUAGCCUGUCUCUCGUGAACACCAUCUGCUCUCUCAAGCACAUUUAUAGAUAACGCUUAUCAAAACUGGAGGGGAUUAUGUGGAAGCAAAGAGAAACAAUAAGAGUAGUUUAAUGAAAUUCUAUGACAAACUAGAAAGGAAGAACACAUCAUCUUUCAAAAUAAAAUCUCUGAGCUCUCAGUAGGCAAAACCAAUAUUUGCAGAAAAAUAUUUAUAUACCUUAAACAUAAUGCAAUCCCAGAGUUGCUGAUGUAAAUUGGACUUGGCCAGAAAGUUGCAUUUAUGAGGAAAUUGAAUGAUGCUUUAUCUAUUAUACCUAAGUUUAUAUAAACAAAUAAGUUACCAACAAAGUUGAAAUACAAGUCACAUUGUUGGAAACUUGAUUAUAUUGAUCUAUUGAUGUAAGUUACAGUUUGCAUUAUCAUAUUUUCUUUCCUGGUGGAUGAAAUUCACAAUUGUUCUUUACAUCUUGGCUUUGAGUUUCUUUACAUCUUUCCUAUCUGUAAAUCACAUUAAUACCUUGUUAAGUUAACAUAAAUAUAUGACAAGCUGUAAUGAUUUAACGUCUAAACACAUGACUUUAGGUCUAUUGCUAUCCAUCUACAUUGUGUCUGUUCUUGCAGUGUCUUCUCAUGAAGGAGGACUAGACAUACGCACUAGACUACGCAUCCCCUACUGAGGUUGAUCUUGCUCUCUUUCUUCUCUGUGUGGGUAAAUUAUUGUUCCAUCCAGCACGCGACUAUGUUGUGUCUCCCUUGGACUCUGACACCAGGAUGCAAUGGGCAGAAGUGCUUAACCUCCACAACAGAGCAUAAAUAACAUUUACUGAACACAAAUGAUCCAAAGAAGUUUUAUUAGUCAGUGUAUGGGUUCUCGUUUUCUUUUUUCCUACUCCCUGUGAUUGUGGAAGCUAGUAUUGGUAUAAAACCUUGUCAGCCUGGGUUCCAAAGUGAAAGACAUGAGUAAUCCUCCCUGCUAACCUACAAUAGAUAUAUAAUGUGAGCAAGAAACAAACUCUAUCAGUUUCAGAUACCGAGCUUUUUCAGUUUUGUUUUAUUUGCUUUGUUUGUAACCAUUGCCAUCCUGAGCUUUCCUAAAUGAUAUAAGAACUAAGCUUCCCAUGGAAACAUUUGAAAUAGUAAUUCAUAAGGAGCCCUGUUUUCCAUAUUGCUGAGUUCUAUAGUUGUCUCCUUGUCACAUAUGUUGUACACGUUUUGUCAAACACCUCAAGUCUGCUUCAACCCAAGAGCCCCUAAACUUGCUCUAUCUUUAUUCAGAAGGCUCUUGUUUCGGAUUUCAGCAAUGCUCAUUCUCUCAUCCGUGCUCCAAGGCACCCUCCCAGAAGGAUUGUUCUUGACCACUCGAUUCAAACAAAACAUCCCUUUAACCAGCCACGGUCUUUCACUUCACUGAACUUUGUUUAGCUGCUUAUGAGUCUUCCACCUGCUUUGUGCUGCAUGCUUCACAAAAAAGGAGAUUUCCUCUAGUCUUGUUUAUCAUUAUAUUUCCUAGAACCGUUUCUGAUAUGUAGUUGAUGUGAUCACUACACAGACACAUAUUAUUGAAUGAAUAAAUGGACAGCUUUGAAACCUAAUAUAUUCACAAGUCACGAAGAAAGCAUUAGUAUAGCUGAUUUUCAUAAAUGGGCAACAUCUUCAACUUGUAAUUAGCAUUGUGGCUGGAAGGAAGGAGGACGUUGAGCUUUCCAGAAGAUGCCAAUCUCUGCCUCAACUCUGCUUUAAGACUUCUCUUUUCCCAUACCUCCAAAGAGAACAUCUAGUGACGGUUUUAUAAAUAUUUUUCUUCUGCUAUUAUAAGUUUGAGUUGGCCAUCAUGUAAUGGUGAACUUUAGAAAUGGAAAGAGUUGCAGUUAGUGUUUACUAAUUAUCAGUUAUGUGUCAGAAUCUCUGCUGAAUCAUUUACAUAUUGUAUCCUAAUUCUCAAAACAAUGUCUUGACAUAAUUAUACCUUUACUGGAUACAGAGGCGGAAACUGAAUUGCAGAGAUACCAAGUGCCUAUCUUAACAUCAUACCACUAACAAAAAGUCAACAGAUUUUAAAGUAGUAUUUCUCCAAGUGUAUUCUUCAGACCACCUGCCUGAGUGUUGCCUGAGAACUUUCUGGUAAUGCAAAUUUUUGGAUUCCACCCCAAAGCUACUAAAUCCCAAACUGUGUAUGAGGCCCAGCCAUCAGUGCUGAUGGCUAGAUAAUGCUGAUAUAAGCUAACAUUGGAGAACCACAGCUUUAAAGCAACAAAUCCAAAUAGUCACAUGGUGGGCAUAACUGGAAAAUUUAGACCAUAAAGCCACAAUCAAUUUUUAAAAAUAUUUAUAAGAGUUGUCCUAUACUGUAGUAACCAAAACAGGUGUGCACGUACUAGGACGGUUUCCACUAUGAGGUUAGUGGGUUAUGGUUUCGUAGUUAGGCCCAUAGGAAACCAGUAAAUAUGAAUUACUAUUUAAAUAAAAUCACAUAUUUUCAAGACUGUUAGUAAGAAGCUUGAUGUCAGUGAGAGGGACAAGAGCUAAGAGAAUUAUGCUGCCGGAACUAAUUUCCCAUCAAGAUGCAGCGUGAAAAGCCAGUGGGGAUUGUGGAAGAAGUUGCUGAAUUUAGGAGCUUCCACAUGAGACCUACUGAGAAAAUACUAGUCUUUAGCUUCCAGCUUGGCUGCAUGCUGGAAACAAACAGCUUAAUUGAACUUUAAAAGUCCCAGCACAGGUAAUAUGUUAAUUUGACAUUGUCAAACAAAGUACCAUUUCAGUUAUAAUGCUCACUUUCCUUUAUAAACAGGAAGACUGGGUGUGUUCAGUAGAUCACAAUUUUAAUUUAUGGUUUUUAAGAAAGUAAAAGCCUCAGGCUCAGACCUACACAAAUACAUAUUUGUUUUUCCUUCAAGAAUAAUUUGAUACCUUUGUAUUUACUUUACUGAUUUAAAGACUUUUUUUUGGUUGUUCUAGGCCCUCUUUAAGAAAUCUCUAGGCUAUACCCCCAUAUCUAUCUCUUAUAAUGGCCAUAUAUUAACUCUUUUAGGCAAAUUUGGGCUCUUCAUUGUAUAUAAAGCCUUCUGGCACGUAAACAUUUCUAUACCUUGGUUUUCUUUACUUUUUUUCCUAUUUUUUUAAAAAAAUGUUUUAUUUAUUUUUGAGAGAGAGAGAGAGAGAGAGAGAUUCUGAGCAGGGGAGGGGCAGAGAGAGAGGGAGACAGAAUCUGAAGUAGGCUCCACGCUCUGCACUGCCAGCACAGAGCCCAACGUGAGGCUCGAAUCCAGGAACCAUGAGAUAAUGACCGGAGGUGAAGUCCCAUGAGUAAACAAUUGAGUGACUCAGGUAACCCUACUCUUUUUUUUUUUUUUUAAAUUGUUCUGUCUUCUUGGCUAAUUCUAGCUUUUUGGCUUUACACUAGAUAGCACUGUUCAGUUAUCACUACCCACCCCCGAACUUCGAAAGUAUUUGUCAUUUGAAAGUCAUUAUUAUUAAUAUGCAUGUGUUACAUUUUUACAGUUUUCUAUAGAUUCCAACAGUUUAACUUUGAAAUCAUUUCCUGUGUGUGAUACUUUUUUCUUUAUAUCGAUUAUAAGGACUUUUGUUGGCAGAUGUUUACAUAUCUUUGAAUAUUAAGUGCUACAUCUGAAAUGAAGAAAACAGCUAAGAAUUUUCACACAUAAAUUAUAAUCUUUUAUUUUCCAAAAAUAAUGUUUGUGUGAAAUUUCAUAAUUCUCUGUGAGGGACUACACUAUUGUUCCAUAUGUUAAGCAUGGUUAUUUUUCUAGCCUGUGAGAUCUGCCUCUUUCCUAAAAAUUAAAAAUAAUUUGCAUGACGAUUUAAACAUUUAAGUCCAAGUUUUCUUUUAGAAUAUUCAUUACAACAGGAGAUGGCUAAGUGCUACAUUUGACCAUGCCAAUGAAUAUUUGUUAAAAUUUAGUUUGUCCAUUUGACAUUUGACUAAUUUUAUUUCCAUGCAUAUACUGGAGGAUUAAGUGCACAUGCAUCAGAAAUAAAAAACAAACCAGAAGACUUCCUGAAAUGACAAUUAGUAUUAUUUUACUGUGCUUUUUACUGCAGCCAAUUUUCUGAUGUUGUUCUUUCUCUGUGACAAAAUUACUAAAUACAUAAUGGAAUACAUCAAGAAAACACUUAGAAAUAUUUUAUUUUUUAAAUACAUUUUUCUCCUUCCUUUUUCCAUUUUCUUUUCUUUUCUAUUUUAUUCCAAAGAGUCAAGGUAAGCUGAAUUUUAGACAUAUGAGUCGAACUUUUUAAACAGACCCUGAAAUGAAUAUAUCUAUAUAUAUUACAAAUAAAUAAUAUAUAUGUAUGUGUGUAUAUAUAUAUAUAUAUAUAUACACAGUUUAAGAACUUAAACCCAAUAUUCACUUAUAAUUAUAGACUGAAUUAUUAUAAGUGCAUUUUUUCUAAAAACUGCUAAAUUAUUCCUUACAGUCUUAUUAGUUAUACAGAGCAAAUUUUAUUGCUUUUCAUUCACAGAUGAGGAAAGCAAUGUCACAAUUAUCUUAUUUUCUUCCUCCUAGAGCUAGAAAACUGGCAUACUGUCCCAGAUUUUCUGGCUACAAGUGUGGGGCACCCUCGCUCUAAAGCACACUGCUUCUCUCAUCAAUGUAUAUGUGACUGAAAGACAUGUUGGGGGAGAUUGAAAAUCCAUAGACACAAGACACUGAAUCAUCUUGCUUUUUAAUCUAUUUCUAUUUUUGACUGUUAAGAUCAACUCAGAAUCUCAUCUGAAAUAAAGAUACAAAUAUAUUUUUAUAUCUGGGCUUAUUUUUAGCGCAAAAUGAUGCUGUUGUACAAUAGGUCUCAUCUGACAUAUACAUCAUCUGCUGAAGUAUAUGUGCCGAUAUUUAGCACAAUAACUGAUAUAUAGUCUCCACAGGUGAGUCAGAGAGAAGAACUUUCAUUAGUUUUUAUAAACCGUAACUUUGCCAAAGAAAGGCAAGAUACCAUACAGCUUUAAGCCUAAGGAUUGACUGUCCAAGUACAUGUCUUUAGCUCCCUCAGGUCAAUGUUUUUACAGUGAUCAAUUAAAAUAAUAACAGUAAUAAACAUUUUUAAAUGAGGCAGUUAAUUGCAUAUCUCCAUGUGUAUUACCAAUAAUGGUCUAGAUCCUACAAUGCAUCUAAUUUUUUCAAAAAUGUAGGAUGAUGCUAAUGCUCUCCGUAUCCUACUAAAAAUUCUAUUUAAUUCCUAUCUGAGUCCAAGAAAUAUUUAUGGCAUGUAAGGUGUGGGGUUUUUAGCUAUACUUCUCAAAAUCAUAGGUUCUGGGUGAGUUAAACAUUCUGUUUUGUGGGAUUUUCAUCUUGACACUAUGGUUGCAAAUAAUUUUAUCUUGUUUAUCUCCAUUGUUAAAGGCUCAUUUUGCUGUGUUGUUGAGAACAGACUGGAAGAGGUGAUCGGAAAAGGCAAGAAGACUUCUUUGAAGACUAUUACAGUCAUUCUGGUGAGAGAUGACUACAUGGAUGGAGUGAGAAUUAGUGUUUGGAUCUGUUCUGGUGAAGAUGGGGGAAGGGAAAAGAUCAUAGGCUUAGUUUGGCUCUCCUACUUUGAAAUGCCUACACAUCAAAGGAAGAUUAGUAGGGUGGCAGAUAUAGGGCUACCAUUCAGAAGGGGGACUUGAGACAUGCACAGUUGUGACAUGGGGAGGGUAUGAAGUGCAGGUGACUACAUAGAAAAGAAAGAGCAAAGACUGAGUGAGUCCUAAUCCUAGCCUAGUCCUUAACUCUAGCCCUAGUCUUUUUUUUUUUUUUUUUUAAUGUUUCUUUAUUUUGAGAGAGAGAGAGAGAGACAACAGAAUAUGAGCAGGGGAGGGGCAGAGAGAGAGGGAGACAUAGAAUCCGAAGCAGGUUCCAGGCUCUGAGCUGUCAGCACAGAGCCAGAUGCAGGGCUCAAAACCACAGGCUGUGAGAUCAUAACCUGAGCCAAAGUCGGAUGCUCAACCGACUGAGCCACCCAGGUGCCCCAACUCUAGCCUUAGUCUUAACUAUCCAAAUGUCUAGAAGUUAGACAUGACAAAAGAUCUUUUCUUUUACGAAACUCUACUCCGUCUCUGCUGAACUUUUUCAUUAAUGCUUGACUUUUCAGCUUUUAAAUUCAUCUUCACAUUGUUCAAUUUUAACAAGAAUCCUGUCAAGUCAAUUUAGUUAGAAUCUCUUGAUAUCUGAUUGCCCCGAUAGCUAACUGGAUUCCUCAUUCUCCACCACCCCUCAAGUCAUGUUUGAUCACCCUGGCUUGCCUUCAGCAAAAAUCCUGUUGGAUUGGUUUAGCCAGAAUCCCCUCACAACUCUGAUGCUUCCUCUUAGUAAUUUUCCAUUCAGUGACUCCCACCCUGCUCUGUGGCUAGAAAUUCCCACUUGCCCAUGUUGUAUUUGGAAUUGAGUGUAAUCUCUCACCUGUAGAAAGAUCCUACUGCAGUGGUCCCUGGGCCUCUUGUGAUACUCUCCUUGAAUAAAGCCUGCUUUACCAUCCCUAUCAAGUGUCAUGAAUAAAUAUAUACAUAUUUUUUAUUUUAGCAGAGGAAGGAGAGAAACCAGCAUAAACACGUAGAAGGAGCACCAGUAAGGCAACAGGAAAGCUGAGAGGUGUGGAGUCCUGCAAGCCUAGUGAAGGUAAUGCAGUGAGUGCUGGUGCGUGUACUUUCUUGCAGGCCUGAGAAGUGAUGAUUUAAUUUAGUACAGGGAAGGUGAAGAGAGAUUCCUGUGGAUUGGUGGACUGACAGACAAACUGGGGGAGGUUAAAGAGAGAGUGGGAGAAGUGGUGACAAUGUGGCAGUUACUUAAAAAAAAAAGUUUGCUGGGUGCCUAUGGGACUCAGUGGGUUAAACAACCAACUCCUGAUUUGGGCUCAGGUCAGGAUCUCACAGUUUCUGAGUUGGAGCCCCAACUGGGCUCUGUGCUGAGAGUGGGGAUCCUCCUUGGGGUUCUCUCUCUCUCUUUCCCUCGGUCCCUUGCCUGCUCACUCUUUAUCUCUCAAAAUAAAUUUUAAAAAUUUUAAAAAAUAAUUAAAAGUUUUUCUGCAAAGGAGAGCCAGCAAAGGAUACAGAGUGAGAAAAACAGGGUCAAAAAUUGUUUUAAGAUGGAAAAUAAGAAUUAGCAUGUCAUAGGUUAUCAGGAGUGAUUAAUUAGGGAAUGGAAUUAAUUACUGUAGAGUAGAAAGUAGGAAGAAUUUCUAGAAUGCCAAAAAUAGUAUUACUGGAAUUUUCAACCAUUUUGCAAAUAGUUUUUUUUUCCUUUUUCUUGCCCAAACCUCAAAAUGGAUUUCAAAAAAAUCUGAAAGACCAUUCUUUUCUCCCAAACAAAUAUGUACUUCAAAUUUUUCCAACUAUGUCCUUCACAGCUAUUGUCUCCUCUUUAUUUAUUUACUGUUUGUUCUGUUAUAAGCAAACCUAUUUAGAACAUUUUCAUUGCUUUCAUUUUCCUUAUCAAAGUGCCUCUGCUGACCUUCUUAUACAAAGACUCUACAACAGAGCUAUUAAUGUGAUAUAAACUUUAAUUCCCUCUAUUGACAUAUUUAAGUCCGUUUACAAAAUGAGGGAAUAGGUAAAAUAAAUUGUGAAAACGUAUUUUUGAAUGGGAUGAUGAGGACCUAAUAAACUUCUCCCAAUCCCUUGUACUGUAUUUGUAAUUAUUUUUAGCCACUAUAUUUAAAUUGUGGUUUGCAUAAGAAUAUUCUGACUCAUUUUUAAGUAACUCAAAGCUACAAAAAUGCCCAGUUCAUUUUAAUGUCCUUCAAAGAAAAUAACAGAAGUUUUCUUUCAUACAUGAAAGCAUUCAAUAUUUAUUUGAAAUGGAUUUUAAUGCUUUAUAUUUUUACUCUCUGAUAUAAGAACCAAUUUCUUUAACACAGAUGGAAAGUAAUUGAUUCCUUCUGUGAAGAAAAGCUGAGUUGUUUAUGCACAUUUUCUCUGUGAACCUGUAAUUUAUACAAAAAAUAGUUGUGUGGUUUUAUUUAUUUAUUUAUUUAUUUAUUUAUUGUGUGUGUGUGUGUCUCCUUUAGAUGCAAAUGAUUGAGCUACAUGCCAAAGACACUAGGUAAACUUCACUGUUACGACAGAGCAUCACUAUACCACUACAGUCAGAACACUGUGCUUUGUAAACUUUUACAUGAGGAGGAUAUGAAGAUACCGUUUUUCCCCCCACACACAUUUCUCUAAUUCUUAACUUAAAAUUUCAUCUUUCCUUUAUUUUUUUAGGCAGCCAGUCAUUUAUUUAUUUUAAGUUUAUUCAUUUUUAAGAGAGGAAGAGAAUGAGGAAGGGGCAGAGAGAGAGAGAAAGAGAGAGAAUUACAAGCAGGCUCUGUGCUGCCAGUGCAGAGCCCCAACUGGGGGCUCGAACCCACAAACUGUGAGAUCAGGACCUGAGCCAAAUUCAGAGGUCAGAUGCUUAACAACUGAGCCACCCAAGUGCCCCUCAUCUUUCUUUUAGAGCUCAGAGAACAGAAAAGCUAAGACUGCCCUGGUGAAGAAGACAGAAAAGGAGGAGAAACAAACUGAGGCAGAAUAGGGUAGUGUUAUCACAAUGUCUGGAAAGACUGUAUCCUGUGUAAAGCUGUAGGUUCUGAUGGAUGGAAAGUAAGUGCAUACCCAAUUUGUGGCAAAACUGUUGCUAACAAAUUAUUAUCGGCUUCUUGAGGAAACCUGGGAAAUAUUCUUCGCAUGCCUUUGUAAAUAUAUAUAUUUUUUAAACAAUUAAGUUUACCUUAAUUGGAGCUGUGACAAUUUAGAAUAAAGGCAAUUUUCUAAUUGUCAUAAACCAGGCCAAAAGGAAAGUAGGACAAGAUCUCUGUCUUCGCUGUCAUGAAUCAUGAAGUAGUAAGUAGAUAUUAAAUAAAAUUAGGGGCGCCUGGGUGGCUCAGUCGGUUAAGCGUCUGACUUCGGUUUAAGUUACGAUCUCACAGUUCGUGAGUUCAAACCCCACAUCGGGCUCUGUGCUGACAGCUCAGAGCCUGGAGCCUGCUUCUGAUUCUGUGUCUCCCUCUCUCUGCCCCUUCCCCACUCACGAUCUGUCUCUCUCUGUCUCUUAAAAUUAAAUAAACAUUAAAAAAUAAAAUAAAUAAAUAAACAUUAAACACUAAAAUUAGAAACUUAUUAAAUAAUAAAUGAUAAGAUUUGAAAGGCUGUACAAAAAUAGCUGUAACUUUUGGGAAGGUAUCUGAUGGAAAGAAAGUUGAAUUAAAAACAAAUGAUUUGUUUUUAAGUAGACUUUUAAGUAGAAGACAACUAUUAUACAAAGUGCCAUAUAUUUUAAUAUGCCAUAAUUAUACAGAUUAUUUGAAAACAGUGGUAAGUCAUAUAGUAAAAUCACAGUGUAUAUUAAAAAUGAAAUGCUAUUUAUCAAAGUUAAAUGCAGAAGCAUGAAAAGCAUACAUUAGCAUUAAAAGCAGCAUAGUAGUUAACACAUUUUAAAAAAUUAACUAUGACAAAUUUUGUGUCAAUGGAAGAAAUUAUUUUUCUAAUACAUUUUUCCUGUUUCUAUAAGAUUCGCAAUUUUCAAAACAAUGCUAAGUAGACAAGAUAGAAAGUGCAUUCUCAUAAACUAUUUGGCUUAUCAACAGCACUUUGGUCUGGGUGUCAUUAUAAUUGUUGGUUAUUACUAGGGAAAGUAUUAAUUACUUUCAGGAAAUAAUUGACACUUUACAUAUGUCAAAAUAUGCUUAUGUUUAUACAUGCCUAUUGAAAAGCCAAAUUUUAUGACCCUGGUUUCUGUCUUUCAAUUUUUUUUGCAUAUGAUCUCUUUACAUAGUAUUAUAUCAUAGUAAUUCUUUCAAAAAUGCUACAAAAUAAAAACUGUUGAUCUGUUUGGUUUUUUAAAGUAGGAACAAUAUUUCAUUAAAUAUAAUUUAAAAAAAAUGAAGUUGAUCACUUUAAAAUAAUUUAGAGUAAAAGCAAAUAGAAAACUGGAAAGAUUUUUCUUCUGGGGUAAAAAUAACAUUUAAACAAAGUUAACCCAAUGUGGUUGGUGCAAGUCUUCACCUUAAUGAGAGCGGAAGGAAAUUAAUAUCUUUUUUAAUAAUUUGAUAACGUAUUGCUAAAUUAAAAUUUAUGUUCUUACACAGAAUAUUUAGCAAGAUUAAACAAGUUUCUCGAUUACCAUUGAAAUGAAAUAAGUAAUGAAGAAAUGGACAAACAUUAAGCUAAUUUUAAAUACAUUAUAUGAGGCAGGGUUUUUUAGAGAAACUGAACCAAUAUGAUGUGUGAGAACGUGUAAGAGAGAGGGAGAUUUAUUUUAAAGAAUUAGCUCACACAUUGUGAAGACCGGCAGGCUGGAGACCAAGGGAAGAGCCAUUCUUGCAGCUCACAUCAGAAGGCUGUCUUCUGGCAGAAGUCCUUCUUACUGGAGCAGGUCUGUUUUUCGUUCUGAUCAGGCCUUUAUCUGGUUGGGUAGACCCACCCACAUAAUGGAAAGCAAUCCGUUUUACUCUAAGUCCACCAAUUUAAAUGUGAAUCUUAUUAAAAAUGCCUCAAAGAAACAUCCUGAAUAAUGGUUGACCACAUAUCCGGGCAUCAUGGCUCACUCAGCCAGAUUGAUGCAUAAAACCAACCAUUACCAAUGUGAUUUGGAAAUUAUCCCCCAAAUUAGGUUUUACCAGAAUUAUGUUAAAGUUAGCUUCAUAGAUGAUCCUUAGCCAUUACUUGAAGAUAGAGUUCACAAUAGUACUUCACAGGGAAAACCCUAAAGGAUUCAGAAAUUAAAUCAAAACUGUGAACUCUACAUAUUCCUUUUGUUUGUUAUGAAACAUAAAGGCUAUGGACUUUUGCUGGAGAAAAUCUAACAAAGUAUCUUUUAAUCAAUGUUUAUAUAUUUAUUUUGAGGGAGAGAGCAAGACAUGGGGCUCGAUCCCAUGAACCCUGAGAUCAUGACGAGCCAAAGUCAAGAGUCAGACACUUAACCGAUUGAACCACCCAGGCGCCCCCAAAAUCUAACAAAAGAUCUUAGUGGAAACUCAUACCUCACUAAUUCUGGGCACUCAGAUUUGCCCAUCAAGUUUGUCUCUUGAUUUUCAAGGUAUUCUUUCUCUUCAGCAACAUUUCCAAGUAAACCUCCUUGAGAUAGCCAUCCUACCAACAUACUUUCAGUCUUGCCUCCCAUUCGUAGAUAAAAAUACAUGCUGUCAUGCUGUCAGAUGAAAAUGCCUACUGCUGGAUCAAAGACUGGACCUAUUACAUGCCCACCUGAUAUUUCCUCCUUAUUCUUAUAACAAUGAGAGAAAUUCUGUCCUCCUAUUGAAAUCCAAGUUCCACAUGUGUCCCUGGGACUGAAUUGUCUCCUGCCUUCUCAAGGACCUUGUGCUAUUUGAUUUCUUUUCCUGAAUAUUUAAUUGUUCCCUUUAUACUGUUUUCUUCCCAUCUAUUUUUAAACAUAUUUAUGGCUCUUCUAUAAUUACAAAUAUAACCCUCCCUUGAACAUGCAUCUUGCAGCCAUGGCUAUAUCAUUUUUUGCCCAAAUAUGUCUUCAAACUUUGGGAAAAGAUAUAUAGUUGGUUUUCCAACUUCCUCCCCUCCAUCACAGUCCUAUAUUGUCAGCUGCUAUGCUGUCUACCAGACAGCUCCACUGUAAGUCCCAUGGAUACCUCAAAACAAACUGUACUAGAUUGAACAAAUUAAAUAACUUUGCUGCAUAAUCCAUCCAUCUUUUCUUCAUGUUCCCUAACUCAGGCAAUGACAUCACCAUUUACCAGGGCCAAUAUCUCAACAUGAGCUCUUCUUUUUUCUCUUAUCUAUUUGACACCAUAUGCCAUUAGUUUUGCCCAUUAAAUAUGUCCAUCUCAAUCCUCCCAGUCACUGUCCUAAUGCAUCACCUCUUGCCAAGACUGCUGAAUAACUUCCUGACUGACAUCUCCAACUAGUAGAGACCAGUUAAUUAUUGGUAUUCAAAAAAAAUGUUAUUACACUCUAAUUCCAUCAUCACAACACAUUUCUAAGAAAAACUGGUGAGGCAGACAAAAAUGGAUGCAAUGAAGUGAGCUUCAGACCAACCACGCUUUUGCCUUCAUGCUUAUUCAUGAGGAAACUAUCAAAGAACAAUACAGAGUCUCUUCUAGUGUCCUCAGAAAAAAGCAGAAGACAUCCAUCAGACUUUCUGGAUAUAUGAUGGCUUUAUGCCUUAUGCCUGUAUGCCUUAGUUACUUCUCAUUGUUAGGGUCAGUUGAAGAAAACUCAAAUCUCUGCCAAGUUUAGUUUUAGACCAAGCAGUUCUAGAGCUAACCAGUAGUUGCAGACUAAGCAGAUGGUAAAAUUCCUGGUUCUCUGACUUUUGGAUUCAUUCUUUAUUUUUCACAUUUUCUCAUAAAAUUAUUUUGCCCUUAAUAUUUGUCAGAAGGAGCCUUGAAUGCCUGUGAAGAGUUCUGGUAGAACAUAUACAAUACCUGGGACUUUGUAUUUACUGAGAAAUGGGAACAUUUGGGUCCCCUGUUGUACAUGCUUGGCAGAAGGGGCCAGUUUACAAUUUUUACCUAAUGAGCUGUCAACAUCAACGUAUAGACUUUUAUCAUCUGCCUGCUGCUUAUUUCUGCCUGAUCUCGUUAUCCUCACUCUGGAGGGUUCCCUGUCACAGAAAUCGUCUUCCAGUUCUGGAAGUAGCCACAGCUCUGUUUCACCUUCAAGCUUUUAUUUAUUUCCUCUUCCACUUUGAGCACUCAUUUUUUGUUCAUGAGAUUAUGCAUCUUUCAAGCCUCAGCUUAAAUACAAUUUCCCCUACGUGGCACAGGGGAAAUGUCUUUCUUUUAUGCCCAUAAUAUCUUGUGUGUUGUCUAUCACCGUGCUGAUUAUGCUAAAUUUUAAUUUUGUAUUUGUCAGCAGUUCCACUUGCUGGCAAGUGCCAUUAGGACAGCAUCUUUGUCUUUUUUCUUCAUCGUGCUAUCCCCAGUACCUAGCACAAUGCCUAACAGAAUGGCUAUUUAACAAACAUCUCUUGAAUAACUGUAUGCCAAUAGUUUUAGGAUGUGAAGUAUGAGAGGGGAGAGGUCAACGGUAAGUAACCCGAAGAAUAGCCAACUUUUAUGUCAAUGUAUAUAUUGUCCUUUGUUCAUCCUACAGAUGCUGUAUUUUAUUUAUCUGAUAUUAACACAAUAAGUCUGGUGCACUGAUAUAUUUUCAUUCUUGUUGAUACUUUCCUUUUCCCUGCUGUCAAGGAUCCAAUAAGGUCAGUUCAUUUAAAAUUUAAUGCAUGAGGUGUCUAAUCUCCAUAUGUUCAGGUAUUUGGUGAAAUAUGGUUUGUUUGAUUUGCAGAUGCUCUGAUAGAUUUAUCUUCUUUAAAAAUUUUUCAGAACAACGUAUUUUUAUUUUUAGUAGUGGUGCAGAAGCUUAGAUAAUGCAAUUUUAAAUAUGAAGGUUUUUAGUAUGUAUUUUUGCAUCUAACUGUAAGUGUUCACCAGAAAAUAAGGAAAUAUAUCUUCAUAACCUAAUAACUUAUUCAAAAACUGGCCUAGAUUUUCUGAUGCUCAAAUUCAUUAUAAAAUAAAAACAGUGAAAAGAACUUUUGCUAUGAACACUAACAUGCAAGGUAAACUUUUAAUUCACAGUGAGCAGCAGUCAGAUGACACCUUCUAGGGUCCAUUAAAAAAAGAUCUCUAGGCUUUUUAGUGAAUUAUGAAAUGGUAAUGAAAAUUUGUCAUCUAAAGUGAAAUUUAUUAGAAGAUUAUUUAAUUCAACACAUGCUUACUGAGCAUCUUCCUUGUAUAACGUAUGAAACUCAAGCUUGAAAAACACAGGUUUUAGGGAAGACCCAACUAUAAAGUUACCUAUUUCUAGAUAUGAAAUAUUGAAUUCCUAAUUUGCUUCCUAAGCAAUUGCACAUAUGGUAUAUGUCUCCUAUUAGCACACAUGUAACAUUAAAAAACACUGAUAAAUAUGUGGAUUUAAAACUGUACAUAUACAUUAACACAUUAUCCCAUCAUCAUUUCACCACAUUUUUAUUGUGCAUAAUUUUAACCAAUGCCCUCUUAAUGGUCAGCUGAGUAGUCUUAUGAACUCAGUCUAGAAUACUUUUACUUGAUGCAAAGUCCAGCAAACAUUUCCCUAAUAGAGAGCGUACUUGCAAUGUUGCUUCCCCUGACAUACUGCAUUCCAUCUGGUUUUCAGAGUAGGAGUUGUGGAAAAAUGCCAGUGCACACUGCUUCUGUCCUAGCAGUUCAUUGAUUUCUUUCAUCUUCGGCUAGUUUGGGUAACUUGAUGUAGUCCCCAUAGCAAUGGGUUGUGCUUUCAAUUCCCAAGUGAUUCCCGUUCAAAGGAAAGCUAUUCCUCCCAUAUGGCAGCCCUAAUAAAUUAAUAAAGGUAAUAAGUGUCAUGCCAUCUGCACUUUAUAUGUGAAGGACAUUAAUCAAGGUAAGCCUCCCAGCUGGGUGGUAUCUUUAGUGUGUAGCCACCUGGCACACAAACAGUGUCAUGGAUCAAUCGAGGCUAUCAACACAGUCAGGACAAGAUAUGCAUGAGCUAGCCAUCCUGCAUUAGGUUAAUCUGCAGAGAUUCCCGUUCACCACAGGCUUGCUUUUGUACUAUACUGAACAUCCAUCCACGAUUAAUGAUUUAUAUUUGAAUAGGCAGCAGGUGAGUUCUUAAAAGUUUCAAUUAACCAAAUAAGAAACUUGCAAGUUAGUAAUAAUGGAAAUACAGGAAACAAACUAUAUUUAAUAGCAUGGGAAAGGAAAAGUCACACACCAAAGAGAACUUGUGGAAAAAUUAAUGCUGAAAACUUUGGUUUCAGGAUGCUUGGGUACACAUGUUGCACCGCAUCUUGAUGAGAACUGCUGAAGUUUCUGAUGUAAGCAUUUAGUGCUAUUAAUUUCCAUCUGAGUACUGCUUUAGCUGCGUCCCACACAUUUUUCAUGUUGUAGUUUCAUUUUUACUCAGUUCAAUAUAUUUUUUAUUUCCCUUGAGGCAUCCGUCUCUGACUAGUAGAUUAGUUGACAAACUAUUGUUUACUUCCCAAGUGUUUGAAGUUUUUCAUAUGAUCUUUCUGCUAUUGAUUUCUAAUUUGAUUCCAUUGUUAUCAGAAAACAUACUUGAUGAUGCCCAUUCUUUUAACUGGUUGAGAAUAGAUUUAUUGCCUGGGAUAUGGUCUAUCUUGGUAUAUGUUCAUAGGCACCUAAUAUCUACUCUACUUUCUUGAGGGUAAAGCGUUUGAUAAAUGUCGAUUGUAUCCUAUUUAUUGAUGCCACUGUUAAGUUCUUCUAUAUCCUUCCUGAUUUUUUGUCCUACCCUCUCAAUUGUUGAGAAAAGGGUAUUAAAUCCUCCAACUACUUUUGUGGAAGUGUCUAUCUUUUCCUUUCAGUUGUAUAAGUUUGUUGCCUUAUAUAUUUUGGUUCUUUUAUUGGAUCUUAUGUUUCUUUGCUGAGACUGUAUGUUUCCAUGUAUGUUUGUUUCAGUCAAUUUUAUAAUUAUUCUUUACUUGAGUUAUUGUUUUGAUUAUUGCUUUAAACUAUUUUCAGGGGAUUCUAACAUCUCUUAUCAUAUCUGUGUUGCCUUUUCUCAUUUGAGUUGAGAACGUCCUAGUUCUUGGUAUAAUGAAUGAUUUUUUAAUGAAACCUGGACAUUUUGAGUAUUAUAUUAUGAGACUCUGGCUCUCAUUUAAAUAUUAUAUUUCAUCUGGACUCUUUUGAUAUCAAUUUGGUGGUGAGGAAGCUAUACUUCACCUCUUAGUGAGAGUAGGAAUGGGAAUCCAGGCUUCCUGCCUGGUCUUUACUGAUACUGCCCAGGUUAGACAGCUCAUUACUACCUGCAAAGGAUAAAUAUCUUGGCUUCCUAUAUGACCUUCUCUGUCAUCACCCCAGUAAGGUAGUUGAGGGUGCAUUAUUUCAGCCUGAGGGUGGAAGGCUAGAGUCCCCUGCUAGUCAUUUGCUAGUGCACUGGAAAUGGGGGCUGUUCCAGCCCUUCCUCCCACAUUACACAUGCAUUACUCUUACUUGCUGCAAGAGUAGAGUGAUUAUUGUAUCAAAGUGUUUUGGCUUUCUAGGUGAACCCUUUACUGGUUCUUUAGCUAAAAUCAAACAAUAUUUUGUUGGGGCUCUUUUUUUUCUUCUUCUUCUUCUUUUGGCUGGCCUCUUUGGCCCUUCUGGGUUACCAGUUUCUCCAGCACCAAUGAUGGGAUAUACUUGCCAAAAGGAAAACCUAGAAAUGUCACUUCUGUGUCAUUCCCUGGGUCCUGACAAUUCUAGGUGUUCUGACUUAUAUGUCCUAUCUUUCAGAGUCUUUUAUAUUCAUUUUAUAUAUAACUUACAGGAUUUUUAGUUGGUCUUAGUGGGAGGUACAGGGAAAAAUAUUUCUACUCUGUGUUCACUGAAGCACAACCUCAAUUUACCAUCUACUUAUGUUUCAUGAUAUAAUAAAACAUAUCUUUGGAAUAAGUGUAAUCAUUUUUAGUUAAUGUUUAAUGAUAAUUAUGAAAAAGAUGAUGAGGCAGAUUUGACUUCUAAGAUGUCACAUCAAAAAUAUCUCUAUCGAAAAACAAAUAACCCAGUGAAGAAAUGGGCAGAAAACAUGAAUAGACACUUCUCUAAAGAAGACAUCCAGAUGGCCAACAGGCACAUGACAAGAUGCUCAACGUCGCUCCUCAUCAGGGAAAUACAAAUCAAAACCACAGUCAGAUAUCACCUCACGCCAGUCAGAGUGGCCAAAAUGAACAAAUCAGGAGACUAUAGAUGCUGGAGAGGAUGUGGAGAAACGGGAACCCCCUUGCACUGUUGGUGGGAAUGCAAAUUGGUGCAGCCACUCUGGAAAACAGUGUCGAGGUUCCUCAAAAAAUUAAAAAUAGACCUACCCUAUGAACCCAGCAAUAGAACUGCUAGGAAUUUACCCAAGGGAAACAGGAGUACUGAUGCAUAGGGACACUUUACCCCAAUGUUUAUAGCAGCACUCUCAAUAGCCAAAUUAUGAAAAGAGCCUAAGUGUCCAUCAACUGAUGAAUGGAUAAAGAAAUUGUGGUUUAUAUACACAAUGGAGUACUACGUGGCAAUGAGAAAGAAAGAAAUAUGGCCCUUUGUAGCAACAUGGAUGGAACUGGAGAGUGUUAUGCUAAGUGAAAUAAGCCAUACAGAGAAAGACAGAUACCAUAUGGUUUCACUCUUAUGUGGAUCCUGAGAAACUUAACAGAAACCCAUGGGGGAGGGGAAGGAAAAAAAAAGAGGUUAGAGUGGAAGAGAGCCAAAGCAUAAGAGACUCUUAAAAACUGAGAACAAACUGAGGGUUGAUGGGGGAUGGGAGGGAGGAGAGGGUGGGUGAUGGGUAUUGAGGAGGGCACCUUUUUGGAUGAGCACUGGGUGUUGUAUGGAAACCAAUUUGACAAUAAACUUCAUAUAUUGAAAAAAAUUAUCUCUAGCAUACUACUAAAAUGACACUAUCUUCAAUUUGUUAUUAAAUGCAAUAUAUAUGUAUGUAUAUAUAUAAUAAAAUAAAUUAUAAUGUAUAAUGAAAUUACAUAAAACAAGUGUUACCUAGACAAAACUAUGGAAUAAAUGGAAAAGAGCCUGAGAUGAACUACAUUUGUAGGAUGACAAAAGUCUCUAGAAGAAAGAAAAAGAUAAUAGUUUAAAAAUGACAACCUGUACCCAGAUAUUCCACAUUCAUAAGCCAGGUGUCAAUGGUUUUGAACGGCCAGAAACAAGUAGUUACUUCUACGUAUAUUAAGUGGAAACUAACCUGAACAUUUAAAAAUCUUCAAGUUCCUUUGAGCAACAUGUUAGUAUAUUUAUCAUUUUUUAAUAAAAAAAACUUAUUUGGAUUAUCCAUUAUAUGUGUCAUCAUUCUCAUUGCAAGUUCCCUGAAGACGUGAAACUAAGACGUAAGCUUUCUUUUUUUUCACAGGGAGAUGCCAAAGGUUUUAUAAUAAGGACGUUUGCUAUUUAUGUACUUCUUAAGAUACUUUAAAAAUGAUGAAAGGGCAAGUAUAGGUUUAUUUAACAGUGUAUUUCACACAACUUUAUUUGAAAAUAUUUGAUUUCCAGACAUAUCAUUGCCUCUGUACAAAGUACUAGUGUUUCAAAAUCAUGUAUCCAAUAUGUAAAAUCUAUGUCCUUUUAAACUUAUUUCUUCCACAGAAAUCCAAGUGAUAACCAGUUAUAGAUUAAUUUUUUAUCAACCUAGGUCACUGGGUAUUUUUUCUCAGAUAAAUACUAUAGAGAAUUUUUUGAAAAAUUAACCUAGCAUCUUAUAAGCUGAAAUAUAUACAGAAAGUAAUUUUUAUGACAAAUAGAAGUGAUAAACUGGGAUAAUUCAAUUAUGUUUGUGCAAUAUUCAUCAUUUAUAUUAAUAAUAAUGGCUCUUAAAGUGGCAAGGAGGAAAAACGUCAUCAUUAUUUUAACGGUACAUCAAAAGUAAAUGGAACUUAGAGAAAAUUUGAAUUUUAGUUCGUGAAGUAUUGAUUUCUUUUCAGGGAUAGUGUAGAGGAAAGAAGAUGGAGACACUUAUCUUUGAAGCACACUAUAUUAUAGACUUACAAACAUUUGGGAAAAAAACAUUAAUAGCAAAAAGUUCAUUUUUAAGACAAAAUUCAUGGGGAAAACAUUUCAUUUAUAUAAUUCUAUGUUAACACUAGUAAGAAUUUAAAGUCAUUUUGUUUAAAAGAAAUUUUUAAUGUUUAUUUAUUUUUGAGAGACAGAGCAUGAGCAGGGGAGGGGCAGAAAGAGAGGGACACACAGAAUCCGAAGCAGGCUUCAGGUUCCGAACUUUUAGCACAGAGCCCGACGUGGAGCUGGAACUCAUAAACCUCAAGUUCAUGACCUGAAUCGAAGUCAAAUGCUCAACCAACUGGGCCACCCUAAAAUCAUUUUGUUUCAAAUAAAACUCAUUAUUAGUUAAAAUAUUUUUUUUAAUUUUCUAUAAUAAAACCAAUUCUUCAGUGCUUUUACUUCAAAAUUAUUUUAAAUUUAUAAUUCUUGUAAAACAAAUUUGAGUUAAUGAAAGAAAGAGCAGAUAUUUCAACUGAUAUCUAAAUCACAUAAUUAAUCAUUCUAAUAUUUUCACUUAUCCAAAUAUAUUGGUAUCUUUAAAAGUUACCAAGCCAUGAAAUUGAAGACAUUUGGAAAUUCACUGUCUAGAAAGUUUUCCUGAAACUUGGCAGGUUUUUAGCAGUCAUUAGUUGAAAUAAAUAUUCAUAGAUUUUCUACUGUUAUUUGAUAAACUUGUUUGAUGCUCCAAGGUAAAAGGUGGAGAAUUAGAAUAACUUAAAUUUGAUUACCAUCUAUGUAUGUAAAAGACACAUACAUAUCUUAGCUCUUUCUGUUGCUACUGUAGAUAUUCUUAUUUGUUUGUAUAUGUAGUUUUAUUUUUGGUGGAAAGAACCUUUAAGUGUAGACAUUCCAUUGGGUACUAUUCGUGGCCUUAUUAUCUCUAUUUCCUUUUACACAGUCUCCAUAGACCGUAAUGUCACUAGUCCUGGCUCUGGCUAUCACUAAUAUACUGAUGGCUUUCCUUUUCACAUUUCUUAAAGACUGCCUUCAGCCAGCUACAAAAGAAUUCUGCUUGGACUCAUAAGUAUAUCAAAAUCAGAUGUCCAAAUAUGACAAUCACAUUACCAAUUCCUACUGACUUAUUAUUAUAUUAUCCUACUCAUAUAGCUCUUUUGUUGUCUCUAUUGUCAAGCUAUCACUAGGUGUACAUCAAGACUAUAGUGGGGAAGAGAAAACACUCUUAAGCUGUACCAGUGGUACAAGUUCUGGCUCUACCACUUACUAGUCACAUGACAUUGGACAAUUUACUUAACCACUCUGAUUCAAUUUUCUCAUUUAUACUAUGAAGUGACAUACAUAUUACUUACCUCAUAACAUUUUUGUGACUAUUAAUAGCAUGUUAUCUGUAAAGUACUUAGAAUAAUUUCAUAUGUGCGUUAGCUAUCAGCUAUUAUUACUAUUAUUUCUUGUCCAGAUGACUAAAAUGACAUUAUAUUCUUACCUGUUGAUACUGUGCCAUUUCAAAUCCAUUUUUUAGGAUAUUACUAGAAUAGUUUCCAGAAUCGGAUCAUUUCACUUCCCUACUUAAAAUAUUUCUAUGGCCCCCGUUUAUGAUACAAUUCUUUGAGAAGGCUACAAUCCCUUUGGUGAACUGGCUCAUGAAUAUUUAUUAGGUUCAACUCCCAUCAGUCCUUGGGAUAUUCUGAGAAGCAGAUUCUGAAGUAGAGGUGGGUGUGUACAAGGUUCAUUAGGAAUUGCUCUUGGCAUUAGCAUCAGUUAAAGAAGAGACAGAAAUGGGAUUGAGCAGAAAAAAUGUUGAGCUGUGAUACAGUCCCAAAGGAAAGCUUAGCUGAUUUUACAAGAACCUCUAAAACUGAAAUGAUCUUCUAAGUGCCCCAUGCCAAUUGAAAAGGAAGAUGAGUAUUUACACUCUCGUGUCUAUGAAUUAAAGUUUGUGGGCGUGGCUUCUGUUUCUGCCCCUAGUCAGUACAUUGGUUCCUCCCAUGUACUAUUAUGUUUUAUGUCCACUGAUGCAAAGAAAUUCCUUCUAAAUAAACAACUUACUUGGGUGUAAUAUGAAAGAGAGGGAAAUUUUCCCCAUUGUCUACCCCUACCUCACUUUUAGGAAGGUAGAAAAGAAGAUAAUCUUCUUUAGGCAAGUUCCUGAUUGCAAAACUUGGUAAAAACUCUCCUUUUGGGUGGCCUGCAUCUAUCAUUCACAUACACAAUAAUUACAGAUAGGGCAAUAGUAAGUAUUUUACUUUAUGAAUGUAGGGAAUCAAGAGUCAGGAUUCUUUAUCUUUGUCAUUGAUGUUGUGAAUCAUGCAAACGUUUUUAGAAUAUAGUGCAUGUAUGUUCCUGUAGUGCCUAUAGUGCAAGCCAUAGAUAAAGCAAUAUUGCAUGCAACUAGCCAAGAAAUCCCCCUCUUCUGCUGGAUUAGAGUCACCCAAGACUCUUUGUUACAUAGGAAAGCAAAACAAGAAACACAUCAAAUAGUAAUUUAAAAUGGUAUUUUGCCAGUUCCUCCUUGCCCUGAUAUAUCCACUUCGAAAUAGAAGUAGCUACAAAACUCAUGCUUUCAGUAUCGUGUUCUCUCACUAAGGAAAAAAUAUUAAAGCCCCCCUACUUACAUCCUACUAAACAAGUAUUUUGGGAUUUAUUUUAAAACAUUUUUAUUCAUAAAAACUUUGUGAGACCUUAGAUCACAGAUAACUUCUCAGAAGAUAAUUUCAAGAAGCAUGGGUACAAAUUACAAAAUUACCUCCAUUUUGCUACAGCCAAUUAUAGACUAUAACAUGCAGUUUACUAAAAUAGUGAUUGUAGUAAAUUAGAUUAUUUUUUCAGAAAUACUCACCACUCUUCUUUACUUCCAUGGGAGGAGAGAGUCUCAUCUCUUUUGUUUUGAAGCUUGGCCAAAUAUCUUGCUUUGCCAUCAGAUUGGGUGAGGUAUACUUUCCCUUUCUAGUUGGGCUUAGUUAUUUGAUUUAUUUUUGCCAAUGGGAUUUUUUUAAGUUUAUUUGUUUUGAGAGAGAGAGCAGGCAAGAGCCUGCAUGUGAGCUGGAGAGGGGCAGAGAGAGAGGGAGUCAGAGAGAGUCCUAAGCCCCUGAUGUGGGGCUCAAACUCACAAACCCACGAGAUCAUGCCCUGAGCUGAAAUCAAGAGACAGACACUUAACUGAGCCAUCCAGGUGCCCGGGCCAAUGAGAUUUUUAGUCACCAUUUUACAUUUGCAUUUUUGUUCCUUUGUCAUCAUAACCACAACAACAACAAAAAUAGGCCUGGGUUAACCUGCUGUCCCAAAGAAAAGAUGGGAGACACCUGGAACACACAACACUCAGGAAAGCACAGUCUAGGUCAAUCUUCUCCUAACGUUCUGCAGACUAAUGACUAAGUAAAUACUUGUAUUCCACUGAGAUUUUGUGAUUAUUAUUAUUUAACUUUUUUUAUGACAACAGUUAACUCCUACAGUGGAUCUUGAGUUUUUUGACCAAACUUCAUAGUGUACAUUUCUAUCUCAGCUUUUAAAAAACGUAUUAUUUAGGGCCGCCUGGGUGGCUCGGUCGGUGAAGCAUCCAACUCUUGAUUUCAGCUCAGGUCAUGAUCUGAGUGUUGUGAGAUGGAACCCCACCCCCACAUCAGGCUCUGCACUGGGCCUGGAGCCUGCUUAAGACUCUCUUGCUCCUUCUAGCACUCUUCCUUGCUCUCGUGUGUGCGCUCUCUCUCUCUCUCUCUCUGGAAAUAAAUAAAUAAAUAUAAGAACAUAAAAAUGUAUUAUUUAAAAGCUAGUCUCAGUAUAUUUUGAGAAUAUAGCCUUCAAUAUGCCUAAUUUCAUAUCAAUAUUUGUAUAGAAUUGCGAUUUUACUCAGGUAUUAUUGAUGAGCACCUAGAUGUCAUUGCUUUAAAUGAAAUCAGAAAAUAAAUGCAUGCAUACUAGAUAUAAUGAUUUAUUAUAAAAGUAGAAGUGCUGGUUGUUGACACAUAAAUUAUUUAUUUCCUGGUAGAAAUGUUCUAUACUAUGACAACUUGUAUUUUGUCUGUCCCUCUUCUUCUCCACUAUUGUUUUCUUUAUUUCAACAGUACUUCAGUUUAUCCAAUGUUAUUUUAUUUAAGAAAAAUCUAAAUUUGAAUUAGUAAUUAUAAAAAUAGUGAUUGGAUAUUCAGUACAUUGAAAUUAAAAGAAUAACUGACAAGCUAAAAAAUUAAAAAAAAAAAAAACCCAAACCAAAAAGACCAAGAAAACAGCAAAGAUUAAAUAUAUUAGGAAUUCUAAUAACAAUAGGGUAAAGGAGGAAUAAAUGCUUAUCUGCUGCUUUGGACCAGGUUUGUAGCUUAAUCAAUAUGUGAACUUCUUUUCCAUUGAUGCUAUUUUCAUCAUACUAUACCUUGAAAAGUAUGUCAUUUAGGCCUAAUUAUAGAUUUAUCCUAAACAUUGCUUAAGUAAAUAAUGUAAUUGUUUAAUAAAAUACAUAUAGCUUAGUGUUAAGUUUCUUCAAGUACAUUUAAAAAAAUAGUAAUAAUAUAAGACUACUUUGUGGAGCCUAUCAAGUCUAGACUAUUUGAGCUUUUGACUCAAAGCAGAUGGAUCAAAACACUAUGCAAGGAUUUCCAAAAUCUAUUAUAAACAUAGCAGUUUUGAAAUCUAGACAUCAAAGUAUUAAUAUAUAAGUGUGCCAAAUUUCUUUCAUUAUUCAAUGAGUCUUUGAGACUUCCAAAAAAAGUGCUUCAUUACCAUAUGGUUAUCUACUUAUGUAACAGUAUAUAAUAAUAAGAUAAAUAUACAUUCUCAAGAAAGUAUGAAUAAGAAAAUUUGUUGAUUAUAAUAAACUCUAUUUUUCUGUGGAUAAUUAGUUGCUCAUGAAACACUAUUAAAAAAACAAGUAAAUACAUUCCUGCAUUUAUCAAUACAAUGUAUAAAAUGAUACUGGAAUAUUAGUAUUAGAAUUAUUUUAAACAGAAUAAUUCAGAUGCUUCUUCUUAGCAGAUUGAAAUAUAGAACAAAUAAAGAUAAGAUGUAAUGUUCAAAUAAAAUAUUCUUUUUCAUAUUUGUUUUAUACUUCCUUCCGUAAGAUAAAUGUCUUCAGUUGAAAUUUUUUCUCAUCAGGGGCGCCUGAGUGGCUCAGUCAGUUAAGCAUCUGACUUCAUCUCAGGUCACAAACUCACAGUUCAUGAGCUUUAGCCCCACUUCAGGCUCUGUGCUGCCAGCGCAGAGCCUGCUUGGGAUUCUCUCUCUCCCUCUCUCUCUCUGCCCCUGCCCUACUCAUGUUUUCUCUCUCUCUCUCAAAAUAAAUAAAUGAACUUAAAAAAAAGAAAGAAAAUUUUCUCCUCAGUAGAAGUUGGUUUUGUCUCGUCUUCCUGGUUUGAUAUAAGUCCAUUUUAACACCGACACAAUUGAGGCACUAGCAGGAGUGAAACAGGACAGAGGAAGUAGAGGAUAGAAAUUUAUUAGUUUGUGACAUGAUGCAUGCUAACGUAAUUCUUCCUGGACUUCACCAGCCAACUAGUAGGCCAUUAAGGAAAAAGAAGACAGGUGUAUUUCCAUUGCCAGUUUUAAUUAAUUUCCCUAACAAUUUUGUGGAGUCAAAGAGUUCCAUGAAAACAGUGUUUGUCUAGACCUAUAAUUAAAUAUGAAUGAGUGACACAAAUUAAAAUUUGAAUAAACCGUAAAGUUUUUGUAGGCAAAAAUAAGCUUAUCUCGUAUUUUAAAAAAUGAGUAUUAUGUUAAGAAACAUGUUACAUGGUUGAGUGCGUUUUGAUAGUUCUAUUCCAAACCUAUUAAUUCAUUGAGUUUCACAAGUAAUCUUCAACCCUUGAACCAAAUAACUUAAGAGAAUUAAGUGUAUUGUUCAAGGAGGGAAAUCUAAAAAAUGUAUUUCAUAAUCUUUUGUCAAAAUUGGUCACACAAAAUUGUACAGUAUCCUUCAAUCAAUAGUUAGAUUACUUUUUAUUUCUUUCUCAUUUCUGAUUCCAUCCCAUACCCUGUCCUCUACAAUAAAGUAAUAAAGUAAGUUCUACUGCCUUUACUUUUUUUUAAUGUUUAUUUAUCUUUGAGAGAGAGAGAGAGUGCACACAAGUGGGGGAAGGGCAGAGAGAGAGAGGGACAGAGGAUCUGAAGUGGGCUCUACACUGACAGUAGAGAGCCCAAUGGGGGACUCUAACUCAUAAACCAUGACAUCAUGACCUGAGGCAAAGUCAGAUGUGCAACAUACUGAGCCACUCAGGCACCCCAGUUCUACUGCUUUUAAUUAUGUGAAAAUAUCAUUACAACAAUAGCAGUAAAAUGUCAUUAUAAUAAUACAUAAAUGUAACACAUGGCCCAAUUGACAUUUCUCUUGAGUUUCCAGAAAUUAACGUAUAUCAGUACGCCAUGCUUUGUUUUGCAUCCUCAUCUUCACACUGCUAAUCAUUUGUUAUGGAAAGACUGACUGACACUCGCAUCAUUCUGGCUUAUUGGAGUCUUUCCUCUAAUAAAUCCUCAUCCAACCACAACUCCCAGUUGGAAAUAAAAAUCCUUCCUUAAGUGAAACCAUGAGACUCUUGAAUGAACUCAUUAUUCUUUAUCAUAAUCUAUAGCUGUCUUUGUUAAUUUUCCCCCUAGACUCCAAGCAUCUUGCAGGCAGGGAUCAAAUCUUAUUUGCAAGCAUAUGCCCACUGCUGACUUGUCAUCCAACAAAUAAAUAUUCCACAAACUUCCUAUGUAUGAAUGGACCUCUUGAAGACUGAGAGCGGUGUUGGUAAUUAAAAAUUAGAAACCAUCUUUGUAUUAUGAGUAAAUUUGAUGAAUUUACUAUUUUUCCCCCUCAGUAUAUUUCAAUUCCACCUUUAUUGUCUUACUUUUUACUUCGUUACUUCUAUCCUGUAUUAAAAACAAAGAAAAAACUUUAAUAAAUUAAAAGUAACAAUUGAAAAUCUUUCAAAUACACCACUAUUUUAUUUUAAAUACUGGACCAAAUACUGACUUUAAGCUAUCAGGAUAGCUAACCAACACGUAUAUGGAUUGCAUCUUCAAGGAGUUGUGGGUGUCUACUUAGGGAUCUUCAGUGUAGUAUGAUUAAGGAGGAUGUUGUACAUGGGUCAAGGCUGGAAACAAGGUUAGGGGGAAAUGUAGGGAGCCCAUAACGUGUGUUAAUGUAAGGCUGUGUGCUCUAUCUUGUGAGUCAUUGUCUGGCUUUUGCUAAGAGGUGGGUGUUAAUAUUUACACUUAAAAAAAAUUCUUUUAGUAGUAGCAAUGCAAGUCAAGAGCCAAAAAGAACUCUUGGGAACAGUUAAAAUGCGUUGCUGCAAUCCACAAAAAAGGCAACAAGGGACUGAAUUAAGAGGGGAAAGUUGCAAAUGAAGAGAUGCCAAAGGUAAGAGCUACUUAGCAGAUUAAAUAGAAUUAAAAUAGUGCACAUUUGGAUGUGGGAGGUGUGUAAUUGGGGAAAAUUUAAGAUUCUGUAAAGAGUGACUGGAGGGAUAGUUGUUCUCAUAAAGAUAAGGAAGAGAAACGGAUUUUAUGACAUGUUAUGAUCUCACUGUCAUUUAAAUUUAAAUCACAAUAAUUUUUUUUUGGCAUGAACUAAUUGAAGAAAAAGAUGAAAAGAGUAAAUUUGACCAGGAGCAAGCCAGGUGGUUGGGUACAAUGCCUAGAAAUAAAAACUAAUCACUAAAAAUUAGCCAUUUAUAAUGUGUAGACAACUUAUACUCCCCUCUACAUAUUAAAAUAAACUAAUUAGAGCAAUUUUUCAUCUAUUCUUCAUGAACUGAAAAGGUCUUUGUUCUGAUCUUUCAAAAGAUAAUACAGUCUAGCCUUUGGAGCUGUCUAAAAUAUAGUUGAGGGUUAUUUUUAGUCAACACAUUAGACACAUUGCUGUAGUUUGCAUUUCUCAUCAAAGAAAAUGAAUAGGCAGUAAAUACAAAGUACAAAAACUGCCAUGAAAAGGAAGAUUAAUAAGGAAGGAUUGUCAUUUACUUUCAAAUCCAGUGGCUCAUUUUAAAUAGAGCCCAAAAGUACUAGCUUCAUAGUGCUUGAAUUAGACAACAUAGUACAUAUCCUUAAUACUAUCCUUUCAUUUGACCAUACUUUUCUUUGUAUUCUAGUAUGUACUUAUUAAAAAUAAAUAAAUAGAAAAUAAUAUAAGCCUUUGCAACAAAGUCUGAAUCUGAAAUUUCUAUGUUGUAAGUCUUCUAACAUUAUUAUUAAUGUUCUCUACUUAUGAAAAAAUUAAGAUAAUAUUCUCUCAAGAUUAUCUGAUUCUUUAAAUUUGACAUUUUCUAAAUGGGGAUUUUAUGUAAAUAUCAUUUAUCAUUAAAUAUUAUUUUUUAACAUUAUUGUAAUGUAUUUGAUAUAGAAAAAAGAACACAUUUGUUUUUAAAAAAAUUUUUUUUAAUGCUUAUUUAUUUUUGAGAAAGACAGAACAUGAGCAGAGUAAGGGCAAAGACAAAGGGAGACACAGAAUCUGAGGCAGGCUCCAGGCUCUGAGCUGUCAGCACAGAGCCUGACGCGGGGCUUGAAUUCACAAACCAUGGAAUCAUGACCUGAACCAAAGUUGGAUGCUUAACUGACUGAGCCACCCGGGCACUCCAGAACACAUUUAAUAAAUGCAUCUUGAUGAAUUUGGACAUAUGCAAACACCCAUGAUAUUAUUACCACGAUCAAGGUACUAAACAUAUUCAUCACCUCCAAACAUUUUCAAGUGCUCUCUCGUGUUUUUUUUUUUUUCUUGAGGUUUUUUGGUGUUAAAAACAUGAGAUCUAUUCUCUUAACAUAUUUUAUAUAUUUAAAAAAAUAUUUUAAUGUAUUUAUCUUUGAGGGAGAGAGAGAGACAGAGUGCGAACAGGUGAGAGGCAGAGAGAGAGGGAGACAUAGAAUCCGAAGCAGGCUCCAGGCUCGGAGCUGUCAGCACAGAGCCCAACGCAGGGCUCAAACUCGUGAACAGUGAGAUCAUGACCAAAGUGUGAAGCUUAACCCAUUGAGCCACCCAGGUGCCCCUCUCUUAACAUAUUUUAAAGUGCAGAAUUAUUAACUGUAGAUACUUUGUUGCAGAGCAGAUAUCCAGAACUUACUCAUCUUGCAUAACUGAAACUUUAAACCCACUGAACAACAAUUUCCCAUCUCCCCUGCCUUGGCAACCACCAUUCUAUUCCAUUUCUAUGAGUUUUAAUAUUCUAAUACUUCAUGUAAGUGGAAUGAAGCAGUAUCUGUCUUUCUGUCACUGGCUUAUUUCACUUAGCAUUAUGUCUUCUAGGUUCAGCCAUGUUGUUGCAAAUGACAGGAUUCCCUUCUUUGUUUAAGGCUGAAUAGUAUUCCAUUAGAUGUAUUUGCCACAUUUUCUUCAUCCAUUUCUUUCUCAAUAGACAUUUACAUUGUUUCCAUGUCUUGGCUGUUGUGAAUAAUACUGCAGUGAACGGGAAUGCAGAUAAUGUUGAGAUCCUGAUUUCAAUUAUUUUGGAGAUAUACACAGAAGUAAAAUUGCUGGUGCUAUAGGAUAGUUCUAUUCUUAAUUUUCAAUUAAUCUUCAUUCUCUUUUCCAUAGCUGCUGAACUAUCCUGACUUCCCCCAUCCUUGCCAAAACAUAUCUUUUUUCCUUCUGUUAAAAAACAUCCUAAUAUCUUAUUGUGGUUUUAAUUUGCAUUUUCCUGAUUAGUGAUGUUGAGCACCUUUUCAUGUACAUGCUGGCCAUUUGGAUGUCUUUUUUGGAGAAGUGCACUUUGUAAUUGAGUUAUUUGGUUUUGGUGGUUUUUUUUAAAUUAAUUUUUGUGGGUUUUUUUUUUUUUUGCUAUGGAGUUGUAGGAGUUCCUUAUAUAUUCUAGAUAUUAACUCUUAUCAGGUAGAUAGUUCACAAAUACUUUCUCCCAUUCUAUAGGCUGCCUUUUCACUUUGUUGAUUGUUUCCUUUGCUGGCAGAAGCUUUUUAGUUUGGUACAGUCCCACUUUAUUUUUGGUUUUGUUGCCUGUGCUUUUGAUGCCAAAUGAAACAAAUCAUUGCAAGACCAAUGUCCAAAACCUUUUAGUCAAAGUUUCCUUCAUAGAGUUUUAUUGUUUCAAAUUUUAUGUUUAAGUCAUUAAUUCAUUUUGGGUUGAUUUUUGUGUGUAAUGUAAGCUAAGAGUUCAAUUUCAUUCCUUUGCAUAUGGAUAUACAGUUUUUUCAGUACCAUUUGUUGACAAUAUUUGUAUUUCCCCCACGUGUAUUAUUGACACCCUCACUGAGAUCAGUUGAUCCUGUAUGAGUGGGUUUAUCUCUGAGCACUCUAUUAAAUUUCUCAGCUUAAUUAAAAAAAUCCAUCUAACUUUUAGAAUCAGGACUGUAGCAAUGGAGAAAGUGCGAUGGUAAUACUCUUUACCAAAUUAUCACCCAUAGUCACUUGAAAUGCAGUACCCAGUAGGAACAGCCUUUGAGAGACUAAGUUGCCAUUGUCAUCAAAACCUAUGAAAAGUACAUCAGACUCAGUUUUUUCAUCACACAUCUGCUUCUUUGCCUUGACUUCGGAACAAGGUAAUCUUUGCAAAGGCUUGCAUCAUAUCUAUGAUGGUUGAACCGGGUUAUUAUUUCUACCGCCACCGUGGCUAUGCUUCACAGAUCCCUGCAGAUGGCGUUGACUGGCAAAGAGCUUGUGUGCCUAUGUGACUGCUGUUCUGGAAUCCCAGUGACUCUGGAGAAGCCAUAGAAUGUGACAGAGACUCAGGGUGGGGCAAUAACAGUCCACACCAGGCUGGAGGUAGCCAGAGGAUAAAUUCUUCUUUAUUUCCUUCAGAUGGAUUGUUCCGAAAUGCAGUAGUUCAGAUGCCUCUAUUAAGCUUCGUCCCAGUCAGAGCAAGUAUUUAUGCUUUCUAUAAAUCUUCGAUGGCCACAGUAACACUCCUAGCCAUAUUUUCUCUCCUUACUUUUCUGCCUCACUCCUGUCCUAGGAUUGUACUCUUCAAUAACACUUUAGCAUGUAAGAUUAGCUUCUGGAUCUGUUUUUAGGAAAUCCAGAUAAGGAAAAAGAGACUGAGAAAGUCAAGUACCCUGGUGGGGUGGGAUAUUUGCUCUAAUGUUGCAGGUGAAUUUGGAGUUGUGCUCAACUUCUGGGGUGGAAAUAGGAACAUUCUGAGUUUGCUCAUAUGAUGUUCAUUCUCCUGCAGUUGUAAAGUUCAGAUGGGCUGAAAGCAAAUGCUGUUAUCCUUUAGAAUGUCAAAUUUUAACAGCAGUUGAAUGCAUAGCUUCGCAUUUCAUGUGAAAUCUAAGUCAUUGAAUCAGAGAAGAGGGAGAAAUGGAAUGUGUGUGUCCAGAAACAGCUGAAAAAUUCAGGGCACAUUUAACAGAGCAUCUGCAGUGAGCCACCCUGACCACUGAAGGCAGCUAAUCCCCUCUGUUUGAAGAGGCUGCCCUCCUAUGCUUGAACAAUCUUUAGUGACUUCACAAGUGAGGUGGAGUCUCAUCUUUUUUUAUUUUUUUCAUUUAUUUAUUUUAUUUAUUUAUUCUUAUUUUUAUUUUUUUAACAUUUCAGGUUUUUAUUUAAAGUCUAGUUAGUUAACAUAUAGUGUAAUAUCGGUCUUAGGAGUAGAAUGAGGGAGUUACUUUUCAAAGAUAAGCCAGAACGUAACAUUGUAUGUGACCUAUGUGAAUGUGCAUCAAAAUUCUCUCACAGUUUUGUUCCCAGGAAUGACUGUUUGCUCUGCCCAGAUAAAACCACCCUCCAAAUGAGAAGCUCCGUAAAGACAGUGGGAAAGAAAGGUGACAUAUUUAAUAUCCAAAUUAAGAAACUUUGAAGAGGUGCCCAAAAUAAUUCAAAUACAUUAUUUCUGAAAUACCUGUUUGUUAAUUGAAAAAAUGUUAUAUGAGUGGACCUAUAGAAUACUGUUCAAAAAUAAUUUUAAAUGUAAAAUUCCAUCUAAAAGCAACAUACAUACAAAGCAACACACAUACACUUACAUUAAAGCAACAUUAAUAAUUUCUCUAUAUAGAGUAUCUGGACAUUAAAAAAUUCAUUUUGGUACCUCCUUAAAGUAUCUAUUCCAUAUUUUCAUAUAUUUCUUAACAACAUAUUUUUUCAUAAUAUGUUAGUAGUACUAUUUUUACUUGUUCUUUCCAAAUUUUAUUAUUUUUAAUGAUUUAAUGAAAUAGGCAGUGAUAGUCUUCAAAGUUGCAUCAUGGUUGAUAAAUUUGAAACUUCUUUAAGUUUCUCUAUAUACUAUCAUAUUUUUAUUUUUUAUUUAUUUAUUUUUAUAUAUAUGAAAUUUAUUGACAAAUUGGUUUCCAUACAACACCCAGUGCUCAUCCCAAAAGGUGCCCUCCUCAAUACCCAUCACCCAUCCUCCCCUCCCUCCCACCCCCCAUCAACCCUCAGUUUGUUCUCAGUUUUUAACAGUCUCUUAUGCUUUGGCUCUCUCCCACUCUAACCUCUUUUUUUUUUUUUUUCCUUCCCCUCCCCCAUGGGUUCCUGUUAAGUUUCUCAGGAUCCACAUAAGAGUGAAACCAUAUGGUAUCUGUCUUUCUCUGUAUGGCUUAUUUCANUGAGGAAUGGAAGAUGGAAGCAUAUAUCUGCCAGCCUUUGAAUUCUGUUGUCAAGCAUUGCCCCCUAUACUAUCAUAUUUUUAAACAAAAAAUGCUGACUCUAUGGGCACUGAGGUAUGGCAAGAACAGAAAAAAUUCUACAUGGGAGAGUAUUUUCAAUUCUACUUACUUUUUUCCACUUAAAGUGCGUGUGUAUAUAUAUGUAUAUAAGUAGAAUGAUAUGUAUGUAUCCUAUACACACACACUUUAAGUGGAAAAAUGUGUGUAUACUUAUUUUUCAAAGGUACUAUCAUUUUCCUUUUUUUAAAGAAAUUUUCUUUAGCAAAUACGAAAGCACUCCUUAAUUUAGAUGCUACAAGCUUAUAGACUUUCUCAAUUGUAUUCUAAUUAAUUACAGUACAUAAAUUUGUCCUAUUAAGAAUAAGAGCUUUUCAGGGUACCUGGGUGGCUCAGUUGGCUAAGUGUUUGACUUCAGCUCAGGUCAUGAUCUCAUAGUUCGUGAGUUCGACCCCUCGUCUGGCUCUGCACUGACAACUCAGAGACUGGAGCCUGCCUCAGAUUCUGUGUCUCCUUCUCUCUGCCCCUCCCCCCUUGUGUUUUUUUCUCUCUCUUUCUCCUCUCUUUCCCUUUGUUUCUCUCUCUCUCUCUCUCUCUCUCAAAAAUAAACAUUUUAAAGAAAGAAUAGGAGCUUUUCAAAAAAGUACUCUCACAAUAAGAUACAUUACAAAGCUAAUUAUAGAUUUUCAAAAUAGAUCCUUUACACAAUUUGAGCUCUCAUUGUAUAACUAUUCAGAUAUUCCCACGCUUUUUAAAAAUUCUUUAUUAUUUUAUUUUUUGACAUUUUAUCUAUUUUUGAGAGACAGAGAGACACAGAGCAUGAGUGGGGAAGGAGCAGAGAGAGCCGGAGACAGAAUCUAAAGCAGGCUCCAGGCUCUGACCUGUCAGCACAGAGCCCAACACAGGGCUUACCCACAAGCCAUGAGAUCAUGACCUGAGCCAAAGUGGAAUGCUUAACUGACUGAGCCACACAGGAAACCCCCAUGCUUUUUUAAAGGGAAAAUUUUCAGUACCUUCUUGUUUACAAUAUUUUGUUUUCAAUCGUUGGCAUUUACUAAAAAUUUCAAAAGCUCAAUGUUUGGAGUGUUCCAUUUGUUUUCUAAUUUGAUUAUAGAUUUCCAAAUAAUAUUUUGAAAGUAAUAAUAAAAAUGGAAUAAUUUAUCUGCAAAAAAUAUCCAUAAUAUUGUAGGACCUUUAGGUUGAUACAUACAGCAACCCUUAAUGUUAUCAAAUAUAUCCAAGACUGUGUACUGCUAUGCUGAAGGCUUUAUUAAUGCUUGUUUUUGUUUAGUAUUUAUUAUCAACUUUAUUACAAAAAUGCUGUAGUUCAUUUACUUUCACCAUGUAUGUUUGCAUGUAUGUACCUACACAUACCCCCCCACACAUAUAUAUACGUAUAUAUACAUAUAUAUACGUAUAUAUAUGUAUAUACAUAUGUAUAUAUACAUAUACAUCAUUACAUAUAUAUACGUAUAUAUGUAUAUAUACAUACAUAUAUAUGUAUAUAUGUAUAUAUACGUAUAUACAUACAUAUAUGUGUGUGUGUAUACAUAUAUAUAUAUGAAUGGCUGUAUUAUGUCUAUAUCACCAUCCAGUUGCAAAUAACUUUCUAUUUCAUUUCGUUUCUUAAUUCAGUGUAGAUGAUUUCACCAUUACAAAUGCUAAAUUUUGCAUUUCUAUUAUAAAUUCAAAGACAAUUCUAUUUUUAAUACUUACUUUAGAAACUUUCUAAAUCUCCUCUUUGAUUCCAUGAAUUAGCUUUUUUAUUUUAAUUAGCAAAACUGAUCUAAAGCAUCUCAUACCACUUCUGGAAAACUUGUAAAUGCUUCCUUUUCACUUAAUGAGGUCAACUCAUUAACCAAUAUUUAUUAACAUUUACAACUUUUGUAUAACAUUUAUAUGAUGCUUAAGAAAACUUUGUAUCAAAAAUGAGUGAAAUUAUUUCACUUGACAUAGAGAAAUGAUAUAUUUCAUUUGAUAUAGAUGAAAUUUAUGCUUCCAAUGUAAUAUAUAAAUGUGCCUUCAGCAACUACAUGUUUCAAAUUAUUUCUUUGAACAUAAAAUUUCUUUUCUUUCCUUUCUUUAUCUUCCCCUAUUCCUUUUUUUCAUUUUUUGUUCAUUGGCCCAUUCAAGUUGUUAAUAGAAUUUUAAAUUUGCUGAGUUAUCAAAUAUAAAAUAUAAGUAAAUAUAAACAAAUUUAUAUUUAAUAAUUUUCCCUUCCCCAAGAAAUAAUUUUUCUAGGCUUGUAAAUAUAUUAGAACACAUAUUUUUCAAAUAUAUUGAAGUAUAUUUUGUAGAAUUUAUUAAUACAUGAUUUUUAAAGUCUCCUAAUCUGUAGUCAUGUCUCCUCUCUCAUUUACAAAACUGUCGUCAUGACUCCUUUCUUUCUCUCUUUUCUUUCCUUCCAUCCUUCCUAUCUUUCCCAAUUUUCCCAAAUCUAGUCUAUCCUUAUUAUCUUCUACAGAAAAUCUUCAAGUUUAUUAUUUAAUUUAAUAAUAGAUUACUAUAUUUAAUUGUGAAAAUUUCAUUUUUAAAUUUAGACUUUAUUCAUUAUUUCUAGCCAGUUGUACUGAAAACAUAUUUUUAAAAGAUUUGUUAAAUGUAUACUGCACGGCAGGUGCUGGGAAGUUCACAGAUUUUAUUUAUCAUUCACUAUGAUUUUUAAGUAGAUGCUGUUGCUUUUUCUGCAGAUUUUGUGUCUUCUUAUUUUCUGUGCUUAGUGACUGUGGUCCAUUAGUAUGCAAGGUAUGUUUAUCCUUGGUUGCCCUGGGAGAUGGAAAAUUAGCUUUUUUUUAAAAAAAAAUUUUUUUAACGUUUAUUUAUUUUUGAGACAGAGAGAGACAGAGCAUGAAGGGGGGAGGGGCAGAGAGAGAAGGAGACACAGAAUCGGAAGCAGGCUCCAGGCUCUGAGCCAUCAGCCCAGAGCCUGACGCGGGGCUCGAACUCACGGACCGCAAGAUCGUGACCUGAGCUGAAGUCGGACGCUUAACCGACUGCGCCACCCAGGCGCCCCAGAAAAUUAGCUUUUAACGUUUUAUUAAAUAUGCGUCCUUCAGUUUAUUAAUAUCAAGACAUGUUGUUGCAAAAUAAAAAUGUUCUUAUGACAAUAAAAUAAGUAGUUGUAGAUUUACACACUAUAAGAAAAAGAUGAAACCACUGUAGGAGUAUCAUCCAUACUACUUUCUACAAAUUGUAUGGCAAAAAUGCCUACACAUUCUUCUCUGCUGAUAUUUCACAUACAUUUGAAAGAUCCCCACAUUUUCCACUGACCCUGCCAAUUGGCAGGUUGGUAGUUUGUGACCCAGCUACUAUACAGCAGGCUAAGGCACCAAGUGACUGACAAGGGCACCAAUAUCAAAUAUGUCUCACACCACCACCUAAACCUCAAAAAGGUAGCCUUCCCUGUUUUUUUUCUGUGUAUAAUUUACCAAUUAUGCCCUUCGUGCUCUCCUUGGAGGGGAGGUGGUAGUCACUUUGCAACUGGGAAGUUAUUACCGGAUGUCUUUCAAAUUUAACACUCUGUUACCGAAGUGUCUUGCACAACAUUAGACAAAACCAUAACAGAGAUCAGAAAUACAGUGCAACCUCAAUAACCUAUCUCAGCUCAGUUAACACCACAUUUAAUAACAGUAUUAUUUUUAAAACCUGGAAUAAAUACUGUGUCAUAAGGAAGAGAGGAUGACAAGUGUAAACAAUGAUUGUGCUGAGAAAACCAGAAUAUGUGGUCAUCAUAGCAGUAAAAGAUAGAAAUAAAAAUUAAUAUUAUAGCCUGCCUUGUAAAAAAGAACAUUUCUUGUUGUUCAAAUAAGAGUUGCGUAUGGGUACACGUAGAGAAGAUUUACGUGGUAUUUGGUAGUCAAUGAAGUGGCCUCAAGCAUGUUUAUUUAUUGUUUGUCACUGAAGUUUCUGAUCGCCCCAUCUUUUGUUUGGUUAAUACCUAACCUAUGUGACCUUGGGGGUGGAAGUCAGUCAGUCAACUCCCCAUUAUAGACAUUAAAAAUAGCAGAUAUUUGCUUUACCAGGUUUCCGUAUACCCAGGGUACCUGCGCAGGUCCUAGGCUUCACUAAUCAGAUACACCUGUCUAGAUUUUAAAACAGCACUCAGUGGUUUAAAGAAACUGGAAAAAUAAAGACUUCUCAUUAGCACCAGCGGCCCCUGCCGCUAGCUGGAUUUCCUGGAGAACCAGCACAAACUCUGCUGGGGACAUGAGCUGGAAGGUCUAACAUCGGUGUUUGCAGCAAGUUACUUUGCAUCUCCCAGUUCCAAAAGCACUUUUGCUUACUGUUCCCAACCUGAUGUUUUCCAUGCCUGGUUCUGUGGUCCACCUGGCUCUAGGCGAUACGCUCAGUGUUAUUUUAUUUACUUUUUAAAUUCUCACGUGGUUCAUUUCCGUACUGCAAAAACUACACUAACACGUGCGUGCACCUAUAGAUACCUUCUCCCCCUCCACACUCAUACGCAUUGCAAUAUAUUAAGAGGCCACUGAAAUUAAAAAUCCUAUAUAUCCUUUUCUUUCUGAGUGACACAAGUGAUUCUGGUUGCGGCUAACAGAGAAUCCCAGCACUACAUAUUCCAUUAAUGAUUCCAGGGAUGAGACUCAGGAAUACAUGAAGAUAUUUGUUCAUAAUGCACAAACUAUAUUACAAAAUCAUUUUCUUCUUAGAAAACCCUUUCAUAACACUUUUAUCUUGCUACAGGCUUAGGGCAGAGUAGUAUUGUUUGCUCAUUAGUCAGUCAUUUUUACAAAUGCAAUCUUAUUUAUUCUGGGUAGGAAAGUUACAGGCCAUCACAUCGGUGUAUGGUCACAAAUAAGCAAAAAUGGAUAUUGCUUAUCUUUACUAUUAGUCCUCCUUAAGAGUCUAUGGGAAGGAAUUUUGCUUUGCAUAGCAUAGAUGAUUUUUCACAGAGAUUCUCCCUAGGCAUGGUUUCUUCUCCCCUAAGUUUCAUGCUGAGGCCACCAUGAGAAUUUCACAACACUGUCACAUGUGUAGUUGCCUCUCCAGGGGCUACCUGCCACCUACCCCAGGUGCUCUAGAACAGAUUUAGGCAGGACAGGAGCUUCAGAUGACUUGGCAUAUGAAUUUACCCAGGAAGUGUUUGUUCUUCAUUCUCAUUUAAGAAUUUCUGGUAAACAAAACCUUCAAUGUUUUAUAUGAAAAAAAAUAUUAGCUCUCUCUGAGUAGCACCAGCACUUGUGUUUUUCCCAUUCCGGCUCAAAAAAUGUGUCUAGCCUGAGGAAAUACUGACUAGCAGGGAGACUGGACUGUGAACCAUGAAUGCUGGAGUCAUUCUGAUUGGCAAGUUACCAUGAAUUCAGCUAUCUGCCCUUCCUGUCUAAGGCAAGUGAGGUGGGUCUUCAUAAUCCCUUGCAGAGGCAGAGAAGUCUACUGCAAAUAAAUUCCUAUCAAUGAAAUUAUGGUAACUGUUGUUGUUGGGCUCCCCUUAGUUUCCUCUACUGCUCAGAUUAGCUCAUGAAAGUGUUAUAAAAUCUAUCACUUCUUUAUAUGAAAUGCAAAUAUCUUGCUAAGAAUAAGACUCUAUGAAAAGAACUAACCCCACCUUCAAGAGGGGGAAAUUGAUAACCAUUUAUUAUUUUUUUGUUGUUUGCAUGAGACUGGUUUAAAAUAAGUGGCAAGUACUAUACACGGAGAUAGAUACAUAUCUAGAUAUAUACACAUGUUCUAUUUCUUUUCCUUUGACUGUCCUAACUCUAGUGAUUAGAGUGUUUGCUAACCAAAUUCUGUUCAGUCUAUGCUGGCUUUUCUACUCAGCAACAGUGUUCACAAGUUUUAAGGACAAAUGUCAUUUUCAGAUAUUUUUAGAUUAGAAUUGAUUAGAGUGCUAUUACAUUUAUAAAUGAAUUACCAUUGGACCAUGGCCAGUCUCAUGGCAUCAAUUGGUGUGACAUUUUGCAAAGCAAAUCUGUCAUUAACCUUCUAGUCCAGCCUUGUGGGUUAGGCAACCCAUACAAAUAUGAAACCCUUUACAAAUAUGAACCCUUUACAAAUAUGAAAUGCAGUAAUCAAUUUAACAAGAACCAGUAAAGCUACAUCCAGAUAGGUGAGUUGCAUCAGAAUAGGAAAGAUUAAAAUCAGGUGACAUUUAAUAAACACUAAAUUUGAUGUUGCAAUGUCUGUAUUCAUAACAACUAUUUCGCAUUCAGUAUUCCUGUGACAGUUACCCUAGUGUAAUGUCUUUCUAUGAGUAGCAGCUUGUAAGUGGAAAGUAAAAUAGAAAAGAUUGAGGAAUUUUACUUGCAAAGUUAAUCCUGUUAAUGUAUAAUGACCAUGGAUGAAUAAGUUAAAAUGUGGGGCUAGAAGGAGUGAACUAAUUUAAAUUUAGUUAUGUGAAUAUAAAUGCAUAUGUGUGUUUUCAAAUACUGACCUCUUAGUGGAUUAGAAGGGAUUCCUGUAAUUUGCUUUGACAUAAUCUUACUGUCUAAUAGUAUUAUACAUGAGCUUUUAAUAUUUUCACAGUGUAUGUUUCCUUAUUCAUAAAUCUACUUUAAGAUAUUUUUAAUUGUUUAUUAACAUUCGAAUAUAAACACUUCAGUGUUUUACUUUUCUCAGAAUUUUAUUGUGUUUUUUCUCACUCAUAUAUUGAAAACAUAUUUCAACAUGAAUUGAAUUAUCAUCUGCUGUCAUCACUUUAUUUUAUUAUACCAAAUAAAAAUAGUCAUCUGUAUGAUUAAUUUUAUGUGUUAACUUGACUGGCCAUAGAGUGCCCAGAUAAACAUUAUCUGGAUGUGUCUAUGGGGGUGUUUCUGAAUGAAAUUAACAUUUGAGUCAGUGGACUCAGUAAAGUAAAUCGCUCUCCCCAAUAUGGGUGGCCAUCAUCCAAUCCAUUGAAAGCCUGAAUAGAACAAAAGACAGAGGAGGGAGAGUCUCAUCCCUUUUUUACCUGCUUUGCUCUUUGAGCGGGACAUCAUAUCUCAUCUUUUUCUGACUUUUGAUUGGAUUCACACCAUCAGUUCUCCUGAUUCUCACUCCAAAGGCCUAAAACCAAAUUAUACCACCAGCUUCCUGGGUCUCCAACUUGUUGAUGGCAGAUGGUGGGACUUAGCCUCCAUAAUCAUGUGAACUAAUUCCUGAUGUGUGUGUAUGUGUCUGUGUGUGUGUCUGUGUGUGCAUGUGUCCUGUUGGUUCAUUUUUUUUCCUGGAGAACCCUAAUACACCAACAUUGCCAUUUUGCAUGUAUUUUAUUUCUGAUAUAAAUUUAAAAUUGUUGGGGGCACCUGGGUGGCUCAGUCGGUUGGUUGAGUGUCUGAUUCUUGAUUUCAGCUCAAGUCAUGAUCCCAGGGUCAUGGGAUGAAGUCCAAAUUUGGGCCCUAUGCUAAGUGUGGAGCUUUCUUGAGAUUCUCUCUUUUUCUCCCUCUGCCCCUCACCUCCACUCACACUUACUCUCUCUCAAAAAAAUAAUAAUAAGUUUAAAGUUGUUAAAGGUUAUUUUGAAACAUAUACAAAGUAAACAAAAGUGUAUAAUGACCCCGCAUAUCAUUAUAAUGCUUCAACAAUUACCAAUACUCUGAUGUUUUGUUUCAUCAUGUAUGCAUUUUAAAGUAAUCUUUAACAUUUACUAAACCAAAAAUACAUCUGGCAACUGAAUGUUACUAUUCUUCACAUAUGUAAGAAUAAGUGCAAUAAUCUCUACUAAGCAUUAAUUUAGUUUUAAAUGCUUGCAUAUUCAAAUAACUGUAUGUUACUAUUCUUUCUCUUAAAGGGACAAGUGUUUUAUUUGUGGAGAACUGACAUAUGUGUAUUCAUGAAUACUUAAUUCUCCACACAUGUAUCUAUAUGUAUGUUUAAAUCACAAAAUGAGGAAGUCACUGAUGGAUUCCAGAUUGGUGCAUAUAGACCAUCAAUUACACAUAGGAAAAGAAGUGGCUAUGGAGAACUACAGUUGUUUUAGAGAAUGAAAAAAUUUGAAGAAAAUACAGAAUUUUAAUACAGAUACAAUACUGCAAAUGCUCUCAUGUACUGCCCGUAUCUGUCGCGGACCAGAAAGACUUACUACUAUUCAGCUGCUGGGGAUGCUGGCAGCUGACACCUUUGAACUAUCAGUCAUCUCUGGAAAUUGCCCUACUCUGAAAAGCUUUGUCUGGCCAAAGGCCAGAUUGCAUUUCCGAAGGCAGUCAACAUCUAAUGAUUAGUGUAAGGCUCCACUCCCUCACCCCAAUGUGGGACUACCUCCAUUAAAUAUCUGAACUUUGGUGCAUUUGGGACCUGGCUGAAGUCUGCUGAGUCUGCAACAUAACCCACAUUCUCCUUUUCCCAACCCUGCUUCCUUUGCUGCCUUUCCAAAGGAGCAAAUCCCAGGAGCUCCCCUAGGAACUACCAGCCUAUGAAUUCUCAAUUUAAGUCUAUUUCCAAGUAAGACAAUAUGCAACAUAAAGGUUGAAAGCAAUUAGUUAAUGUCAAACAGAUGGUCUUCAAAGAACAAAAUUGGGGUGAGAUGGUUUCUAGUGUUCUUCAGAGACAAGAGAAUAUAUUUAACUCAAAACUAAGGCUUUUGGUAAAAACCAUUCUUCACUGUAAAAUUUAUGAAUCACCUGCAUCAAUUCCUAGCCCCUCCCAAAUCUCCAUUUGAGUGUGUGUGUGUGUGUGUGUGUGUGUUUGAAUGCGCUGUGCAUGUUUGGAGUGGGACAGAUGUGUCAGGACCUUGGGUCUUCAUUUGUAAAGAGUUCUUGGGGAGAUUCAGUGCAUCCUAAUUUGACACAAAUUUAUAGCACAUAAAGCAGGGAGGGAAGGCUGUGUCUGGAGUCCAUCAGAUAUUUUGGAAGUCUUCUUACUAUAUGAUUUGUUUAUGCGUUCAUUCAUUUAUUUAUUGAUAUUUACCAUAUAUUUAUUUUUCUUUGCCUUUUCCAUUACUAUUUUGGUUGAGGUUGUGCAUUACAUAAGAAUUUAUUGUAAAUGUCACCAAACCACAAGAAGCCACAUCUGUACCCAACAGAGAGGUCUGCAAAAUGCCUAAAUAUAGAUAUGAAUAUGGAUGGAUUUUGUGUCUCUUAUUACUGAAGAAAUGGUGAAAAUAUCUUUAUUUGUAUGAUCUAUAAUGGCCUCAUGUUGUGGAGAGGAGAGGUUUAAUGGAAUUUUUAUAUGAGAGCUAAACAAGGAAAUCAAAGUGAUGAUGGGGGCUGGAUUAGUCAGGGUUCUCCAGAGAGUGUGUGUGUGUAUAUGUGUGUAUGUAUAUAUAUAUUCUAGCUUCCUAGAAACCUACACGUUGUAUAUUCAGAUACUGCAAGGAAAUCUGGGCUCCCAGAUACAGGUUAGAAAACCUCAUCUGUCACUCAACUGUAGAGUAAGAGUAGAUUCCUCUCCUGUUAAUCUCUGGUUUGCCUUGCCAGCCUCUUACAUCUCCCGUAUAAUCAGCUUCCUCUGUAUUAAGUACUGAAAUCCCUCUGUAUUAAGUACUUCUCCUGCUUUCGUGGUUAAGAUUGGCAUGAUAUCUCAUCACAGAACAGAGGGAAACAUUUGAGCCAUUCCAAAGACUGAUGAGUAGGGUAAACUUUAAAUUCUUUUUUAAUGUUUAUUUCUUUUUGAGAGAGACAGAGACAGAAUGUGAGUGGAUUAGGGGCAGAGAGAGAGGAAGACACAGAAUAUGAAGCAGGCUCCAGGCUCGGAGCCAUCAGCACAGAGCAUGACACGGGGCUCGAACCCACGAUCUGUGAGAUCAUGACUUGAGCUGAAGCCGGCCACUCAACUGACUGAGCCACCCAGGCACCCCUAGGGUAAACUUUAUAUUGUAAUAAAAACAAAACAAAAUCAAGCAAAACAACAACAACAACAAAACCCAAAAUGUAUUACAAUUCUUUAGUCCUCUUACUCUGGAACCUCAGGAGGUGCAAUAUGAUGAAAGAACAAUUGCUAAAUUCACAGGAAGCAGGUCCACACAGGUCUUACUUCCUUUAAUCUCAAAGAUCCUCCAAUUUCUCUAACAUCAGUUUGUAUUGAUUUAAUAACAUAAGGAUAAUACAUCUGUCUGUAACCUCUAUAAUAUUUGACACAAGGGAGAUAUCUUUAAAUUCUGGGGAAUCAGAACUCAGUGAGUCCUCCCAUAACACCAAAAUAAUAGCAGUCGUAGGGGUGAGAUGACAUUCACAUUUUUUCUUUAAUUAUUUAGGAAAUAAUUACUUAGAAAAAUAUUAGUAAUUUAAAAAACAGCAUUUCUGCCCCUCUAAAAGAACACUUACCAAUGAACAGACAAAUAAAUAAACCAGAAUACGAACCAAAAUGCCAACAUUUUAAAAACCCCAAUUUGGAUGAAUUUGUUCAUUACUUCAAUAUUUAUUUAUUUAUUUAUUUAUUUAUUUAUUUAAAGUUUAUUUAUUUUGAGAUAGAGAGAUACAGACAGCAUGACAAGGGAAGGGGCAGAGGUAGAAAGAGAGGGAAAGAGAGAGAAUCCCAAGCAAGCUCCACACUGUCUGUGCAGCUUUCACUAAUCGGCUCACUAAUGAGCCCCUGAAGAGGGGCUCGAUCUCACGAACCUCGAGAUCAUGACCUGAGCCAAGAUCAAGAGUCAACUGCUUAACCGACUGAGCCACAAAGGUGCCCUGUGGUGGGUUUCUUUGCAAGUAAUGCAUCUACUGUCGGUUCAUUAUGGCCUGGAAAAGAAUAAGUAAGAAGAUAAUAGUAUAUACAACUCAAACAUUUUCUCAUGUUUUAAUACAUACUUUUGUGAAAAUUCCUCAUUUGACAAUUUAAUUUUUCUGGAUAUAAUUGUUUUCUUGUGGCAUUGAAAUGUUUAUAGUGAAAUCUUUGCGAAAUAAAAAUUAUUAAAUAGCCUACCUUUAAAACAUUUUUAAUGUUUAUUUAUUUUUGAAGGAGAGAGAGACAGGGCAUGAGCGGGGGAAGAGCAGAGAGAGAGGGAGCCACAGAAUCCACGGCAGGCUCCAAGCUCUGAACUGUCAGCACAGAGCCCAACAAGGGGCUUAAACUCACGAACCAUGAGAUCAUGACCCGAGCCAAGUCAGACGCUUAACUGACUGAGCCACCCAGGCACCCAAAAUAGCCUUCUUUUAAAGAAAGUGAACAAAAUAAUGGAGAUGAUAAAUUUGAAUUUUUCAAACUGAUCCAAUAUCUACAGAAAUAACUAAAGAUAUAUGCAGCAUUUCAACAGACAAAAAGGUAAAGGAAAAAUAAGCUGCAACAAUAAAAUUUUAGCCAAGGCAUUAGAGGAAACAUUUUGAGGAUUAUUUUUAAGCUAUCUUAGAUUUAUAAGCAAAUGAAUAGCUAGCAGUUGAAUAGUAUCAGUUCAGCGUAUAACUGAGAAAAUGCACAAACAAAAUAAUAAGCAAAGAAGGGUCCAAUUACUACCUUAUGGUAUCAUUUACUUGUGCUCAGAUAAAAUUAGUAUAUUUUAAAUUACCUAUUGUCCCUAAAAGAUUUGUUUGUAUUUGAGAGGAAAGAAAUGGAAAGAUAACAUCUGCAGGUAUUAAAAUUUAUAAAGUGUGUUAUUAUUGCUUUUAUUCACAUAGCCUUUUAAGAUGAGGCCCCUUGAAACCCUUUUCUGUCAAGAUGCUUUGAGAAGUAUGAAUUCUGUGGUCAAAUACAUUUAGAAUGUACUGUGCAAUAAAUCACUGACUAUGUGUUUUAAAGGUAUAAAGGCAAUGAUAAAUUCUGUACUGAAGAAAACUAUUUGUGCUUAAUCCAUGAGAUACAACUUUAUCUGAAAUAAAACCUUAUUUUCGUCAUUCGCCAACAUUACAUAAACUAGUUUUUGAAAUAUUUAUUUAUAAAACCUGAUUUGCCAUAGUUUGCUUCUGAUUUAUUUUUUUCCCUAAAUAGUUCAUUCAUAUUUCUCGUACAACAGUGGGAGUAAAAUUUAGUGAGUGGCACCUAUAAGUAAUUAGAACAAGCAAAUUUAUCUUUCUUGAAACAAAGAGAUAGAGCUGGAGAGCUAGUGUCAAAAAUUAAUAUAUAGAAUUCCUUUAAGAACACAUUUGGCUAGGAUACUUGAAGUAUAAUGUGUAGGAUACCUAAGAGCUUGAGAUACCAUGACAUGCAAACAGCUUUUUGCAAAGAUGAAGUGUUUCACUUCAGCUCAUUUCAGCUUGGCUGAAAUGCUGCCUUCCACAGGAAACACUGAAAUGACAUAAUUGAACAGAAUAGAAUACUUUGGCUAGUGAGAAUUUCAUAAGAGUUGAAUAAGAUAUUUCAUUCUGCUUUCAGAUUAGUCAUUAUUCUUUCAUGUUAUGCUUUUAGACAGGAAAUGUUGACUUAAAAACCUGCUGGGUUUUCACUGCUUCCAUGAAAACUGCCUGUAUAUAAUAUAAAAUCAACCCAUUAUUUGAGAUAAAAUUUGGGGUUCAAAAAAAAGUUAUUAAGUUUUUGUUAAAGAGGAGAACUUAUCCAAAAAUAAUUUAAAACUCUGCCUGGUUUUCCUGGUCACUGAUAGUACAAAGGUAGUGUGAAAAUGGAGAAGUUUAGUUUCGAUGGAAGUGAAUGUUAUAACUUUUUGAAUUAUGAGGAAUAAAACAGCUUUAAGGGUUUUUCCCUACUUUCGGCUCCUUUCUCCUUUUAUUUUUAUUUCUCCCUUUGUUCCCGGUAUUGUUCUCUGCAAAGAAUCGAGGCUAUGUCAAUGGUGUUGAAUUAGGGAUCUUAGAAGCAAGAGCAUGAUUCUAUGAAAACAGCCCUUUAGAAAUGUCAGUUUUAUUAGGGCAAGCCUAUUUCCAAGUAAUAGACCUAGCACCUAAAAUUCAGGAGUGCCACAUAGCAAAUAGAUGAGAAAAAAUAAAAUUGUGGGAGAUUAAGAUUUAUAGGCGAAUAAUUUUCUACCUGAUUUGUAUUGUAUUGUCUUGAGCUAUAGUAUUGUCUGUAUAUUUGCAGGUAAUUUCACCAGCAGAUUUAUGUCUUCAUCCAAUUUAAAACGUAUGCCUUCAUAAAAUGUCCACUUUCUUUAUCUUCCUAUAAAUAGUGUCAUUUUCUCCACUUCCUUAUCAAGGAGUGGGUACAAAUAGCAUCUUUCUCAAAGUAUAUGUAUAUUUAAGAGCACUGAAGUCACACAGAGCAGAAAAGUUUAUAAUAAAAUUAUGGAUAUAACGUCCAAUCCAUCAGUGAACGUGAGUUACAUUUGUCCUUUUGGACAGUUUGAAGCUAUAUGAUAUAGUUGAAAUAGUUCGACAGGAGUCAGAGAUCUUGCUCUGGCUUUGUCUCAUCUUCAGACUGCAUUUUCCUCCAUGUAACAUGGAAAAUAUUCUAGGAAGAGCUGAAAAUUCUACAGACCUCUUCUAUCUCUGAUAUCCCAUGACCCUCAUGUGGCUUAUCAGCCACCUGAACCCAAAUACUUAUUCUAGAAUAUUUUACUUAGAGGAAAAUUUUCUGAUGUAUGAUUAAUAUUCUGUGAAGAAGCAUGGAUUUUCAAAUGAUUUGAAAGAAUUCUUAUAUACAUCUGGACUCUACCACAUGGGCAUACACAUAUACCACAUUCACAGACACAUUCACACUCACAAAUGCACACAGAAAGAAUUCAUAGGGAUGCAACAAAGAAUCCAAAAAAGUUAGGACUACAUAGCACACAGUUGGGCACUGGAGGCAGUGUGAAUCGUCCUGGGAGUAACACACGAGCCUCCUUAAACCAGUAAAGCUAACAAUUUUUUAACAUUUCCAACUCUCCAUUUCAAACUUAGCAUUUUAAACUCAAUUUACAGAGAAUUUUAACAUGCACUUUUCAUUUUUACCAAAAUCCACAGAUUAUCCUUUGGUGUUGUAUAGUGAACCUCCAAAAUUUCACCAAAUGUGAAUUAAGAUUGCCUGGCAGUUAAGAUGAGCUCUUGAUUAAACCUUAUUCUUUGUCCUGGGUAUAUAAUGUUGCAUCUACUCCCCAUUAUGUUACUAUUUAUAUAUAAAAAGAAGGAACCUCAAGCCCAUGUAACCAUUUGGAGAUCACCUAAAAUAAUAUUAACAUAAUAUUAUCAUUUAUCAAUUUACAAUGUAAUGGUACUAUUGUAUACAUUGCAUGUUUAUUAAUUUCUUCAUUAACAUAGUUCUAAAGCAUGGGCAUCUUCAUUUUAACAAAAAAAAAAAAAACUAUUGCAUGAAGAUGUGAAUUAAAUUGCAUGACACAACACAGCUGGAAAACAUGCAUUUCAAGAUAGCCUCUACUGUCACAUCUCCUGGCUAGAGAAGAAUAGACUUGAAAUUAGUCAUAUUAGAAAGUGCAUUGAAUGUAUUAAACUCAGUUUUUUUUAAGGCGGAUUAAAAUGGAUAUUCUUCUAUGCCUAAUUGCAGAUUGCUACAAAAAGUGAUUACAAUCUGGGAAAAGAGAACAUGAAACUCCCCAAACUCGGGAGGAUCUGCCAUCAGAUGCAUUGAUUUGGGGGUCCUUCAGCUUUUUCAAAUUAUUGCAUUUGUGAUGGCAGCAGAGGAACCUGGUCACAAUUUUAGAUAACAGAAGUGACAGCAAAAUGCAUCAUUUCACACAAGCUGGUAUUUUAUGAUAAUUUGCUUUUGGUGUUUAUCAAUGUUAUUAAGGUUUUACGUUUAAAAAAUCAACCAUGCUAAAUGGAUAUAGCAAAAAUAAGUACUUUCCAUCCUCUCUUUCAUGUCAGCACUGUCUUAAAAGGCAAGCUCUUUUGAUAAUUUUAUCUCUUCUACCAUAAUUUAACUCCAAUUAUUUAAAUAUUAUGUUCAUACCCAUGUCUCUUGAAUAAGCAAUACAGACAUUGUCUGUUAUGCACUGUCUAUUGUGGCAUGUGGCAAUUUGCUAAACUCUCUUUCCACUUCCCCCAAUAAUCAUUCAUUCAUGCAGUCAUUCAAAAGAGUUAGUUAUUGACCACUUACUAACUGCCAGUCUCCUUUCUAGGACGUAAGAAUAGAAUCAUGGGAAUAAAAUUCUAUCAGAAAAAGGCAGGUACAAAUCAAAAAAAAAAAAUAUGUCAAGUAAUGAUACGUGAAAACAAGGAAAAUAAAGUGAAACAAGGGAAUAGAGAGUGGUUGGUUACGAACUUACCUCUUUCAUAAAAUUACAUUUGAAUAAAGGUAUGAUAAGAUGAGGAAAGAUCAAUGUAGAAAUCAAGAGAAAGAUUUUCAGGCAAAAGGAGCAGUUGAAAUCUUUAAAGCAGGAAUGUGCUUGGUAUUUUAUAGAAUUGAUUAAGAGACUAAGAGAGCUAGGCUAAGACUAUAAAGGAGCAAGUUGUAGUGCACAAUAUUAGAAAUCAGAUCAUAAUAUUAGGGACCAGAUCGUAUCUAAAACUGUGAUCAUAUAGGGCUUGGUAGGGCUCUCAGUGCUGCCAGGAAAGCAUGUUGGUAUGUUCCCUGUCUCAACCACACUGAUAUCUCUUCCACUAUUCUUACAUCAGAUGAUCUUGCUUCCUACCUUAUUAGAAAAUUGAAAUCAAUCAGCCCUUCUGUCAUGUAUUCCUUUUACCCACCUGCUGCUACAGAAUAUAAGAUAUCUUUGCUCCUGUAAAAAUUGAAUCCCUUCAUUUAUUUACUAAUUCAUCACUUCUUACUUGUUCAAAGACUCUGUCUAGCAAUCCUUCUCUUUCUGUCCUACAUCAGUAAGUUUUACUCUCUACUGGAUUAUUUCCAUAAGCACACAAAUAAGCUGUUAUUUCUCCCAUCUUAAAAAUGAACACAUCAAUCACAAUAAUAAUAAUAAUAAUAAUAAUUUUAUAUUUUAAAUUUAUAUAUUUUUAUAUUUUAUAUAUUUUUGUAUUUAUAUUUUAUAAUUUUAUAAAUAUGUGCUUGUGUGUGUUUAGUGGAAGUAGUAUCAGGUCUCAUUUAACAAGCCGACCAGAGCACACCUAGUUAAAACUCACCACAUUCUGGCCAAAGACCAAACACUGCCCACUGCAGGCAAGAAGAGUCUCUGCAGACAACUAGACUGAAGCGUAGAACAGCCAGAACACAACAGCAAAGUACAUGUAGUACCCAUCAGAGACACUUCCUGAAGCACCAGGCCCUGAACACUACAUGACCUCUUUUUCACAAAGCCAUUGCUUUCAGGAGCUAGAAACAUAAUGGGCUUUUCUUUUUUUUUUAAUGUUUAUUUAUUUUGAGACAGAGACAGACAGAGCAUGAACAGGGGAGGGUCAGAAAGAGAGGGAGACACAGAAUCUGAAGCAGGCUCCAGGCUCUGAGCUGUCAGCACAGAGCCUGACGUGGGGCUCGAACUCACGGACCUUGAGAUCAUGACCUGAGCUGAAGUCGGACGCUUAACCGACUGAGCCACCCAGGUGCCCCAUAAUGGGCUUUUCUAACACAUGAAAAAAGGCAGAGACUUAGACAAAAUGCCAAGAUGGAGGAAUCCACCCCAACUGAAAGAUAAGGUCAUGGCCAGAGAUCUAAGGGAAACAGAUAUAAGUAACAUGCCUAAUGGAAAAUGUAAAGCAACAAUCAUAUGGAUGCUCACAGGGCUUAAGAAAAGAAUGGAAGACUUCAAAAAGGGCCUAUGACAAAGGUAAAAGAGUUAAAAAGCAAUCAGUUCAAAAUGAAAUGUGCAAUCAAUAACUGAGAUUCAAAACAGGCUUAAUGAAAUGGACACAGGAUGGAAGACUCAGAGGAACAAAUAAGUGACCUAGAAGACAAAAUAAUGGAAAAUAAUGAUGCUGAACAAAAGAAAGAAAGAAUUAUGGAACACGAGAAUAGGCUUAUGGAACUCAGUGACUCCAUCAAAUGCAAUAAUAUUGGUACCAUAGGAGUCCUGGAGGAGAAGAGAGAGUAAAUGGGGCAGAGAAUUUAUUUGAGGAAAUAAUACAUGAAAACUUCCCUAAUCUGGGGAAGGAAACAGACAUUCAGAUCCAGAGGCACAGAGAACUCCCAUUAAAAUCAACAAAAGCAAGUCAAAAACAAGAUAUAUUAUAAUUAAAUUUAUAAAUUAUAGCAAUAAAGAGAAAACCCUAAAAGCAGAAAGACAAAAGAAGUCCCUAACUUACAAGGGAAAAUCCAUAAGGCGAACUGCAGAACUCUCAACAGAAAGUUGACAAGCCAGAAGGGUUACAUGCUGAGGUAAAAUAUCUGCAGUCAAGAAUAUUCUAUCCAGCAAGACUAUCAUUCAGAAUAGAAAGAGUGAUAAAGGAGUUCCCCAGACAAACAAAAACUAAAGGAGUUGGUGACCACUAAACCAGCCUUGUAAGAAAUAUUAAAGGGGUCUUUGAGUGGAAAAAGAAAGACCAAAAGUGACAAAGGCAAGAAAGGAACAAAGAAUGGCUCCAAAAAUGACAAAACAAGUAACAAAAUGGCACUAAAUACAUAUCUAUCAAUACUUACUCUGAAUGUAAAUGGAGUAAACACUCCAAUCAAAAGACACAGUGUAUCAGAAUGAAUAAAAAAGAAUAUCCAUCUAUAUGCUGACUACAAAAUAUUCAUUUUAGACCUAAAGACACCUGCAGAUUGAAAGUGAGGGGAUAGAGAACUAUUUAUCAUGCAAAUGGACAUCAAAAAAAUCCAGAGUAUCAAUACUCAUAUUGGAAAAACUAGACUUCAAACCGAAGAUUAUAAUAAGAGAUGAAGAAGGGCACUAUAUCAUAAUAAAGGGGACAAUCCAAAAAGAAGAUAUAACAAUUGUAAAUGUUUAUGCACCCAACAUGAAAGCACCCAAAUAUAUAAAACAAUUAAUAAUAAACAUAAAGGAACUCACUGAUGAUAGUACAAUAAUAGUAGGGGAGUUUAACACCCCACUUACAUUAGACAGAUCAUCUAAGCAGAAAAUCAAUAAGGAAACAAUGGCUUUGAAUGAUACAUUAGACUGGAUGAAGUUAACAGAUAUAUAUUCAGAUAAUUCCAUCAUAAAGCAGCAGAAUACACAUUCUUUUUUAGCACACAUGGGACAUUCUCACAUACUGGGUCACAAAUCAGGCCUCAACAAACACACACACACACACACACACACACACAAAACACAACAAACACUAUAAAAUUUGAGGUCAACUACAAAUACUGGAGGUUAAGAGACAUCCUAUUAAGCAAUGAAUAGGUCGAUGAGGAAAUGAAAGAUUUUUUUUUUUAAAACAUACGAAACAAAUGAAAAUGAAAACAUGACAGUCCAAAACCAUUGGGAUGCAGCAAAAGUGGUCAUAAGAGGGAGGUAUAAGCAAUACAGGCUUACCUCAAUAAGCAAGAAAAGUCUCAAAUAUACAACCUAACCUUAUACCUAAAGGAGCUAUUAAAAGAACAACAAAUGGAGUGUAAAGCUAGCAGAAAAAAGGAAAUGAUAAAUAUUAGAACAGAAAUACAUGAUAUAGAAACAAACAAACAAACAAAAACCAGUAGAACAGAUCAAUGAUACCAGGAGCUGAUUUCUUGAAAGAAUUAAUAAACUUGGUAAACCCCUAACCAGACCUAUCAAAAAGAAAAGAGAAAGGACCAAAAUAAAAUUAUAAAUAAGACAGAGGAAAUAACAACCAACACCACAGAAAUACAAAUUAUAAUAGAACAUUAUGAAAAAUGAUAUGCCAACUAAUUAGACUACCUGUAAGAAAUGGGUAAAUUUCUAAACUUAAGGGUCUCAAUGUGACCCCCGAGGGAGUGAGGUAAAGAGAACAAGCUCUCAGAAGUAAUCUCUGGGACACUCCAAAAAAAUGAGUUAUGUUAAUCCAACAAAGGAAAUGAAAAAGAUGGCUAUUAUAUUAGAAGAAACAAGUAAUAGUAAUACUGCAGAACCAAGAGAAGGAAAAGAGAGCUAUCAACAUGUCAAAUGCUACUGAUGGAUCCAUUGUGAUGCAAAGAAUUAGCCAGACACUAUGAAAGAUAACUCUUCCAGUGAGUGGUGAGGACAAAGGUAUCAUUCUAAUGGUUAAGGAUGAGAGAAUAAGACAGAAGGGAAGGAGACCACGGAUUCUUACAAAGUUUUGCAACAAAAUAAGUUGAGAAAUGAAGCAUCUGGAAAAGUAUGUGAGUUUGAGGGAUAUUUUCUUUUGUUUUUGUUUUAAUUUGGCGGGUAUUAGCAUGUGUAUGUAUCAAAAAAUGAAAUAAUAAAAGGAGGGGAAACAAUUCUGCAGAGUAGAAAAGUGAGAUAAUUUCAGGAUUAAAGUAUAAUAUUCAGAAAGGAUGGCAAGAGUAGAAUUGAUAUAGGCACAUCAUGGUUCUAUAAUAUUGAUCCUAAAUUCUGUAUUGAGCUGAUAGAAAAUAAUGUAGAAAUACAAAAGUUGAUGUGCCAGAAUUUGUUAGUCUAAAAUCUACAAGUGAGAUUCAGGAAAUCAAAUUAAUUGAGAUGGAAGGAAAAUUUUAGAAGUCUAUUUUAUUUUAUUUAUUUUUUUACUGUUACCAGAAGAAACAUGGGAUUGCUCAACUUUUAGCUCUGAAGGCAAGGAAAGGACUUCUCCCAACCAACCCAUUUAUAGAUAUUGUUAUAGAUAAAUAAAAAUACAAUAAAUAAGUAAAAUGGAAAGAAAUUAUUAUAUAUCAUGAGAUUUGUUUCUUCAAUACAAGAUAUCAUUGUUAUAACUAUGAUAAAUUGGCCAUUGUUUUGGCUGAGUCAUUGUUUUAUUUCUUUAUGCAACUUUUAUUCCUGGUGUUAAUAAUAAGACUCAUUUUUAUCAGUUUGUCCUUGAUGAUUUUGUCCUCCUGAACAUGUCUUCUUCCACACUCCGAUAGCCACUCUAUAAAAUUUUCUAGAGACUGGUUCUCUCAGACAUACUGUCCUGAAUGAUCAAUUCCCCGGCUCCAGGAGUAUUUGCUUCCUUGGUAGAUGCCAUCCUGGCAUUCUGUGCACACCUGCUGCUCCUUGCCUGGGUGGAAUAUUCUAUUGACUCCAUUUCAUAAUUUGUUAUUUAAAAUUUAAUUUCUCUGGGCGCUUGGAUGGCUCAGUCUAUUAAGUGUCCAACUUCAGCUCAGGUCAUCAUCUCAUGGUUCGUGACUCUGCGCCCUACUUUGGGCUCUGUGUUGACAGCUCAGACCCUGGACCCCACUUAGGAUUCUGUGUCUCCCUCUCACACUUCCCCUCCUCUGCUCAUGCUCUGUCUCUCUCUCUCUCUCAAAAAUAAAUAAACAUUUUAAAAAUUUAAAUUUAAUUUCUCUUUUGAUAAAACACACCCUCUAAUGUCUUUCUGGGUUUGCAUUGUAGAUAAGUUAUCUGAUACAAAAUUCUUGGUAAUGUCUUUAUCCUUCCUUCUUCAAUUGUGUUAUAUUUUGGCUGUGUAGGAAAUUCAGGUGGAAAUUAUUUUUCCUGAGAAUGUUAGAAAACAUUGCUCCAUUUAUGUCUCAGCUGCUGUGGACGAGUCUGAUGUCAUGCCAAUCUUAUUUCAAAUCUUGCUUAUGAUUCAUGAUUUCCACUCUUUGGUACUCUUUGUGUCUUCUGUUUAUUCCAAACAUUAUAAAAGUUUAUGAUGAUAUAGCUGAAAUUUUUUGGGCAGCCCCUUUGUGAGUAUAAAGAUUUGUUUCUUCUCUAAUCUGCAAUGUCAGUUAUCAAUCUGACUUAACUUAUUUGUAUCCAAGAUUAUAAUUAUUACCAGCUUCAUUGAAAGUAGAUAUUUUUUCCUCAAAUUCUUGCUUGUAAAUUUUUUCUUUGAACAUGCAUUAAGCUGAGAGCACAUAUAUAGAACAUGAGACCAAGAAAUUCAUUUCUUGAAAGAUCUCUACAUCAGGUUAAAGGGAUUCCAAAGCAGUCUGUAAAUGGUUUAGCCAUGAUCAUGCUAAGUUUAGCCUUCACUGAGUUAUGACACACCUCCUUUUUCCACCUUGUGAUUCUGCUCUUCCCUAUCCUCUCUUUUCUUUCCUAAGUAUAUGAUCACGGAUAUAGGCCUUUUACUUCUUCUAUUAAUGUACAUCACUUAAAUACAUGCACACCUUGAAAAUCUGUGUCCACUUACCUAACAUUUAACUAAGCUAUCUUGCUCAAUAUAUAAUGUGUCUAUUUAUUUACUCCCUCUUGUAUUUAAUUACAAUAAUGUGUCUUUUUGAAAUAGUUGUUUUUUGACCUUUAAUACUCUUUCUUUUAUUAUUCUCUCAGCCCCUUCACAACUACUAAAUCCAUUUAUCUUUUCUCAAAUUACUGAGCCCUGAAGGAAGUGAAACACUAUUAUGAUAAUUUGUCUGCAUUUGUUCCAUUAAAGAGCAGUGAGAGUCUAACUAUAAGCAUAUUAUUUCUACUUAAAACACUAUGUUGCACAAAGAAACCUUUAUUUACCGAUUUCCCAUUAGAAGUUGGCUUUGUAAAUGAAUGUAUCUUACUCGGUGGACAAUUUUCUACUUUAGUAAAAAAUUGUUAUAAUUUUAAAAAGCAAUACUUUGACACAAAAAUGUAUUGUAAAAACAGAGGCAAAUUAAAUAUUAAUAUAUGUUACAUUCCCACAAGCUAGAAAUAACAUGUUAUAAACUUCAAUGAUUUAUUUUCUCUUGCAGACACCAUCUAAUACCCUAUAUCAAAAUGCUCAACCACCAUUAUUAAGGUUGUUCUUUGUUAUUCUUUCCUUCUCAAUUGCUCAUAUAUUUAAUUUUAAUAACAUUGAAAUUGUAUAAAAUAGACUUACUCAAGAUGUUCUACGAACACAGAGAUAUUGAAUUAGGUCGAGUUGGUAGUUUAUAUUUAAAACCCUUAAUAUACUGACAAAUAAAGCAGAAUGUUGGAGAUUUUGGGAUUUAAAGGGAUGUUUGGUUUGUGAUUAUAUAUUUAUCUGAUUUUUAAAUGCUUAUAUUAUGUUCUUUCUGAAAAUCUAACUUUUGGGACUCUCCCUAUAAGCUUCUCAAAUUCUUUAAUGACAAGAUACAGCCAUUUACUCUCAAAAAUUAUUCCUGACCUUCUUAUCCUAGAAGACGGUUUCCUCCUUAUAAAGAUCUUGGUAUUAUAAUAUUAAAUCUCCUAUUUAUUUAUCUUAUUCAUAAUACCAGCUACAUCAUUGAAAAUUAUGCUUCACCAUCUAACACAUGUGUAUUCAGAUUAUAUAUUUACCUAUUAAAAGCCAUACCUAAAGAUCAGGUAUUUCAUUUUAGCCAUCUAAAGGUACUCAUCAAAAUCAUUGCUCCCUGAGGUGUCAGACCAUCAAAUCAACCAUAGAAUGAGACUAAUAUUUCUAAUAACAUAUUAUCAACAAAGAAAUAAUCACAAAUUUUAAAAUCUAAUCACAGGACAUACUAAUAAAAAUAAAAGCUUUUAAAUACACAAAGAAGGUAGAUAUAGAUAUAGAUGAUAUAGAAAGAUAUAGAUAUAGACAAAUAUAUAGACAGAUAUAGAUACACACACACAUAUAUAGAUACAUGUGUAUCUAUCUAUAUAUACACUUUCAAUAUUUUAUUUGACUAGAUACAAAUCACAUAUCAUUUAGGUUUCUGUUUAAUUACUUUAUUUUCAGGGAGAAGUUUACAGAUAUCAAGUCUACACUUGGUUUUCCUGUUUUAUUUUUCCAUUGGUUCUUGUAAUUUCAUUUUUCAAAAUGACUUAUUGCAUGUAAUUGCUCAUGUCCUUGUACAUAUAGUAUUGCACUGCAUAUUAGACAAUAUGGACACUAGAAAAACUGAGCACCAUUUCUUCUUUCAAUCCCUGCACUAAAUAAUUAAAAAAAAUUGAAGAUAUCUACUAUUUUGGGCAUUUAAAAAUUCUUAACUUUGUCUAUAAUUUCCAUUUUACUUCCUUUUACUGAAAAUUGUGUUUAUGUAGAUACAUGCUACAUACAGUAUAUACACAGAUUGCUUCUGCUUGUAUUAGUUUUCUAGACAGUUUUAACUAUCAUUAUUUUGUAAUUUAAAUUUAGUAAUUUGGAAAUUUAGUGAGUAAUAAAGAUUGUAAAAAUAUUACCUAAAAAUAAUGUUUAUUAGCAUAUAAAGAAAUUCAAAGACAAUUGAAAUGUUUAAUUUAUAAUGAAUUGUAUCUUUACCCUUUUAAAAGCAAUAGCUUCAAAUUAAGUCUAGCUGUCAUGAUUAUUGUCAUCAAAUACUAUAUUAUAUGGGAAAAGAAACAUCUUUGGUUUGUACCCAGCUCUUAUCUGUCAAGUUCAGAGCUUGAACUAAAUUGUUUCUUUUAUUUUCAUAUUUAAGGCUCUGCAAUAUAAGAUUCUAUUCCUUUUAAAAUUACGAAGUAUUAAGGGGCACCUGGGAGCUCAGUUAGUUGAGCAUCCAACUCUUGGUUUCGGCUCAGUUCAUGAUCUCAUGUCUUCAUGAGUUCAAGCCCUGCAGAGGAUUCUGUGUUGGCAGAAAGGAGCCUUGUUGGGAUUAUUUCUCUCCAUCUCUUUCUGCCCCUCCCCCAUUCAUGCUGUCUCUGUCUCUAUCAAAAUAAACUUUAAAAACAUUUUAAAAAUAAAUAAGAUUAUUAGCUUUUAAGUAUCUAUUUAGUGCUACAUACUAUAUGAAUUAUAAACAUAUACAUGAGAAGGUAAAGCUGUUUAUUUGGAGUUUACCAUUUGGUUAGAGAAAAAGACAAAUGUCACAGCUGAUAAAAAACCAGAUAAAAAGCACAAUAAAUUUCCAGGGGAAGAGAAGGUUUUUGGAGGAUUGAUUUUUCAAAAAAUUCUGUUUUAUUUUAUCCUUUGCAUUUCUUUCUGUUCAAUUCUAUUCUAGAUUGUAAACAUUUAUACAAUGCUAUUCUGUGCUCUUUAUGCCAUGCUGGGGACAUUGUGGUGUAUAGAAAAUGGAAAAAGUGUAGAUUCUUUUCCCAAGAAUCUUGCCAGUUUUCCAUUUUUCACAAAUGACUCUAACAUAAGAAAAAUACUAAUUCACAAUAUAGUAAAGUUGGAAGCAAAGUGCAGUAGCAAUGCUAGAGAGUAUAACUCAAUUAUGAUUAGGCUAUAAAGAAGUCUUAUGUGAGAAAUAGCACUUGAAUUUAUACUUAGUAAUGUGUAGGGAUUCAAUAACCAUGGUUUAAGGGACAAUUGUACAGAAGAGAAACAGCAUUAGCUAGUGAAAGAUGUGAAAAAUGCUAGAUAUUGAGUGGUUAAAAUUUAUAUUUGGUGUCAUAUUGUAGGAAUGUGCUUGAAAGGGCUGGUUGGUAAAACGUGAUAAAAAAUCAAUGCCAUUCUGACUGUCAACUUUUGGAAAUAAGUAAUGUCAAAAGUUCUUAAGCAACAAAGUUAUUUGAUCUUACUAUGUUUUAGGACAUUGUUCUAAGAGAGUUAAGAAGAGUUUAGAGGAAUGUUGUAUUUUUUUCAAUCAUUUAUUCAAUAUUGUUUACAUAAAGUCCAAACAAUAGCACAAAAAUCCUAACAACUUGGAAAUUAUAUUUCAAUGGAAAGUGUAAAAUAAAUUGUUCAAAUAGCAUAAUAUAAUGUAAUAUAUUACCAAAUAAAAAAUAAAAUGAUAUAAUACAAUGUUUGAUAUAAAAAAAGGUAGUAACAGGUAUAUACGUUCUAUGAAAAAAAAAACAAAUGAAAGUAGGUUGAAAGAUCAGAGAGUAAAUGGGGAUGCAUGACAAUUACAUUGGGUGGAGCAGUGUCCUCUGAAGGAAAAACAUUCGAGCAAAUGCAUGAAUGAAAUAAGGGACAUGGUCAUGACUCUGGAAUGAAAUUCUUCUUGGCACUGGCACGGAAAAACCAUUACUCUAAGAACAAAGUGGGAUUGUAAGGGCUAAGAAAACCAAUGAGCUUAGUGUGGGCACAAAAAUAUACAUAGAUGUGCAGAAGGCAAUGAGGUUGGUGAGGAAACCAGAGAUCAUGUCAGCCUUGUAGGUAUGUUAAGAACCAUUGGAUUCAUUCUACCUGGGAUGGGAAGACUUUGAGAGUUAUAAGAAAAGAAACAGCACGAUUUUAUGUACUUUCAAAAUACCACUUCAUUGUUUAGGUGGAUGAUUGACUAUGGAGGGACUAGAGAGGGUAGUGGACUAGAAGUAGAAAUAAUUAGUAGGGUAUUAAAGUAAUUCAAGCCAGAUAAAAUGUAUUUACUUUAAGAUGGUAAUAGUGGAGAGAAACUGGUUACAUUUGGGAUUCCUAAGUUUGUGAAACAUUGAAUAAGAAUAAAACAAUUAUAUAUUAUUUGACAAAAAUGUAAUAUAUUUAUGAACAAAGGUAGUGCAAGGAUGUGAAAAUAAGAGAUCAAUUAUGAAAGUCUCUUUCAACAUAAAAAGAGUUUGGUGUUGGAUUUUGUAGGUGCAUGAGAGAAGGGCUCAUAAUCUCUCUGAUAUUUCAAGAUGACUGAAAAAAAUUUGGAGAUAUUAGUCAAUGUAGUGAGUUGUAUAGAAAAAAAAAACAAAACAAGCUUUGUAGGAAAACAACCGGAGACAGUUGAGAACAUGUAGGGGGAAGACUGCGAAGAUGGUUAACACACAAUUGCAAACUUGGGUCUGAGUAUCAGUGUGUAGCAGAUUAUGACCUGUUCUUCAGUAAUUUGUAAAUAUCAAUAAAAAUCUAAUUCAAUACAUUGAAAAAGAAAAAGGAACCAAACAUGCAUUUAAAAAUAUCAACAGGAGAGAGUGACAUCAGAAGAUGGCAGAAUAGUAUGUCUCUGUACUCUUCCCCCAACAGAAACACUGACUUCACUUUCAUAAAGAACAAGGAUGCCUUUAUGAGAGUUCUGGAAUUCAGGAGAGCGGUUACAGUACCCUAGUGGAGCAAAGAAGCAAGAAAAGAUGCAUUAUAAAAAGUGGAAAUAAAAGUCUCACUAUAUCUCUACCAUCCAUCUUCCAACCAGGCACAGCGGUGCCAAAAGAAUUUUCAGUAUUGGCUCAUGAAUUUUCCUGUGAAGAAAAGAGAGAGGAAGCCCACCCAUGGUCCCAGUCACCAGGCUGGCUGCCCUGGGAACCACUGCACCAGGCCCACCUGUGGCCUCUGACCAAAUGUAAAAAAUUUUCCAUGCAAAUGGUAACCAAAAGAGAGCAGGAGUGUCAUACUUAUAUCAGACAAAAUAGACAUUAAGUCAAAAACUGUCACAACAGACAAAUAAGGUCCUUAUAUAAUAUUAAAAUGGUUAAUUCAACAGGACGAUAUAACAAUUAUGAAUAUAUAUGUACCCAACAUCAAAGCACCUAAAUAUAUAAAGCAAACACUGAUAGAUCUGAAGAGAAAAAUAGACACCAAUACAAUAAUAGAUUUCAAUAUCUCAUUUUAAGAUGUGUAUAGAUGAUCCAGACAGAAGAAGAAUUAAAAAAAGAGCAAACUUGAAUAUUACAGACCAAAAGGACCUAACAAACAUAUACAGUACAUUGCACCUAACAGCAACAGAAUACACAUUUCUCUCAAAUGCACACAGAGCAGUCUAUAGGAUGAAUCAUAUGCUAGAUCAGAAAAUAAUAAAUAAUAGUUAAGAUUAAAAUCAUUCCAAAUAUCUUUUUCCGAACAAAAUGGCUUAAAACUAGAAAUCAAUAACAAAAGAAAAACAGGAAAAUUCACAAUUACAUGGAACGUAAACAAUACACUCUUGGGACGGGACACCUGGGUGGCUCAGCGGGUUGAGCGUUUGACUUCAGCUCAGAUCAUGAUCUCAAGGCUUGUGAGGUUGAACCCUGCUUCGGGCUCUGUGUUGACAGCUCUGAAUCUGGAGCCUGCUUCAGAUUCUGUGUCUCCCUCUCUCUCUGCCCCUCCCCCGCUCAUGCUCUGUUUCUCUCUGGCUUUCAAAAAUAAACAUUACUUUUUUUUAAAUAAAAUAAACAACAACAACUCUUGAACGACCAUUGGGUUAAAGGAAAUAUCCAAAGAAAAAUUAGAAAAUAUCUUGAGACAAAUGAAAACAAACACAGCAUAUACCAAAACUUAUAGGAUACAACAAAACCAGGACUAAGAGAGGUUUAUAGCAAUAAACACCUAUGUAAAAAAAGAAAAAAAAAGAUCUCAAAUAACUUCACUUUACAACCCCAGGAACUAUUUUAGAGAAAGCUUAACCCAAAUUUAGGAGAAGGAAGAAAAUAAUAAAGAUCAGAGCAGAAAUAAAUGAAAUAGUGUAUAAAACAAUAGAAUAAAACCAAUUGUACUGAGUUGGUUUUUUGAAAAUAAAAACAAAAUUGAAAACCUUUUAAAUAGACUAACCAUAAAAACCAGAGAGAAGACUCAAUUAAGUGAAGUCAGAAAUGAAAGAUGAGAAAUUACAACUGAUGGCAGGGAAAUAAAAAAGAUUGUAAGAGACUAAUAUGAAAAGUUGUAUGCCAACAAGUUGGACAACCUAAAAGAAAUGGAGAAGUUACUCAGAACAUACAAACUACCAAGACUAAAAAGAAAUAGAAAACCUGAACAGGAAAAAAAACAGGGAGAUUAAAUAUGUAAUCUAAAACUUCCUAAUAAAGAAAAGUUAAGGACUAGGAUGGCUUCAUAGGUGAAUUUUUUAAACAUUGAAAAAAGAAUUAAUAUCAAUCCUUCUUAAACUAUUUCUAAAAACAGAUGAGGAGGGAAUGCUUCCAAACUCAUUGAAACCACCUCAGCAUCACCUUGAAACAAACACCAGAUAAAAACAUUAUAGUAAAAGAAAAUUAUAGGCCAAUAUCCCACAUGAACGUGUGUAAAAAUCUUAAACAAAUUAUUAGUAAACCAAACUCCACAGCACAUUGAAAAGAUAAUACACCAUAACCAACUGGGAUAGUUCAACAUCCACAAAUCAGUCAGUGUGAAAUACCACAUUAACAGAAUAAAGGAUAAAAAUCACAUGAUUAUCUCAAUUGAUACAAAAAAAAAAAAGCAUUUACCAAGUUUAGCACCCAUUCACGAUAAAAGUCGUCAACAAAUUAGUAUAAAGGAACUCAUCUCAACAUAAUAAAGGCUAUAUAUGACAAGCCCACAGUUAACAUCAUACUCAGUGAUGAAAAAUUGAAAGCUUUUCCUUUAAGAUCUGGAACAAGGCAAAGAUGCCCACCUUCCCCCUUUUUAUUCAGUAAUACUAGAUUUCUUAUCCAGAGCAAUUAAGCAAGAAAAAGAUAUAAAAGUCAUCCAUACUGGAAAGGAGGAAGUAGAAUUUUGUUUGUGGAUGACAUGAUAUUAUAUGCAGAAAACCCUAAAGACUACAAAAAAACUGUUAUAAUUAAUAAAUUCAGUUAAAUUGCAGGACAUAAAAACAAUACACAAAAAUCAGUAGAGUUUCUGUACAUCAACAAAUUACUACACAAAAUUAAAUUAAGAAAAUAAUUGCAUUUAGUGUAACACCAGAACAAAUAAACUAUUUAGGAACAAACUUAACCAAGGAGGUAAAAAACUUGUACAUUAAAAACUAUAAAGCACAGAAAAAGUAUUUAGCAAACACAAUAAAUGGAAAGACAUCCCUUAUAUCCUGUAAGAUGGCUAUUAUCAAUCAAUAAAUCAAUAAAAUUUUAGAAAAGAGAGGAUCCUACAUACUGUUUUCCACAGUUGCACAAAUUUACAUUCCCACCAACAGUACACAAGGGUUCCCUUCUCUGCACAUUCAUAAGAACACUUGUCAUUUCUUGUCUUUUUGAGACCAGUCUUUCUGACUGGUGGAAAGUGAUAUCUCAUUAUGAUUUUGAUUUUCAUUUCUCUGAAGAUUAGUGAUGUUGAGCAUCUUUUCAUGUGUCUAUUGGCAAUCUGUAUUUCUUAGGAAAAGUGUUUAUUCAGGUCCUCUGUCCAUUUUUUAAUAAGAUUAUCUAUUUGUUAUCGUUGAAUUAUUUAAAGUUAUUUAUAUAUAUUGGAUCCAGUAGUCCCACCUCUGGGUAUUUAUGUAAAGAAAAUAAAAACACUAACUAAAAAAGAUAUAGGUGCCCCUAUAUUCACUGCAAUAUUAUUUACAAUAGCCAAAAUAUGGAAAUGACCUAUGUGACUGAAAAAUGAAUGGAUAAAGAAGAAAAAAGAACAUUGUGUGUGUGUGUGUGUGUGUGUGUGUGUGUAAUAUUAGCAUAAAAAUAAUGAGAUCUUGCCAUUUGCAGCAACGUGGAUGGACCUAGAGGGUAGUUCAUGUUAAGUGAAAUAAGUCAAACUGAGAAACACAAAUACCAUAGGAUUUCACUCAUAUGUGAAAUCUAAGAAACAAAACAAAUGAGCAAACAAACAGAGAUAGACUCAUAAAUACAGAGAGAAAACUGGUAGUUGCCAGAGAGGUCUGGGGGGGGGGGGGGGGGUGCUGGGUAAAACAGGUAAAGGGGAUUAAGAGGUACAAUUUCUAGUUAUAAAAUAAAAAAGUCACAAAGAUGAAAAGUACAGCAUAGGGAAUAUGGUCAAUAAUAUUGUAAUAAUAUUGUAUACUGACAGAUGGUAACUGCACUAAUCAUGGUGAGGCACCUGAAACUAAUAUAACAUUGUAUGUCAACUACAAAACAUCAAUAAUACAAAUUUUUAAAAAGACAAGUGCUGAUGAGGUGUGGAGAAAAGUGAAUCCUGUGUACUGUUGGUGGGAAUGUAAAUUGGUACAUUCACUAUGGAAAGGAGCAUAAAGGCACCUCAAAAAUUGUUUUUAAUAACUACCAUAUGAUCCAGCAAUCCCACUUCUGUUAUACAUGCAAAAGAAUUGAAGUCAAGAUCUUGAAUAGAUACCCACACUCCCAUGUUGAUUACAUUAUUCAUAGUAGUCAAGAUAUGGAAACAACCUAACUGUGCAUCAAUGAAUGAAUGAAUAAGGAAAGGGUGGUAUAUGCAUACAAUAAAAUGCUAUUCAGCCAUAAAAAAAAGAAAUCCUACCAUUUGUGAGAACAUGGAUGAACCUGGAGGACAGACACCCUGCUUAGUGAUAUAAGCCCGACACAGAAGGACAAAUACUCCAUGAAUCCACUUAUAUAAGGAACCUGAAAUAGUUAAACUUAAAGCAACAUAAAUGAGGGCGGGGUUAUGGGAAGUUGGAAAUGGAGAGGUAUUAGUCAAAGGGUACAAAGUUUCAGUUAUAUAAGAUAAAUGAGUCCUAGAGAUCUACUAUUCACUAUAGUAACUAUAGUUAAUAAUACCAUAUUGUUAUUAUUAAAAAUUUGCUAUCAGGAUAGAUUUUAAGGUAAGUGUUAUCACCUAAUAAUAAUAAUAGUAAAAAUUAAAGACAGCAGGAGGAAACUUUUCUAAGAAAUAUAUAUAUUAUGGCAUAGAUUGUGUUGAUGGUCUCAUGGUGCAGUUGACCCUUGAUCAAUGCUAGGCUUGGGUGCUAACCCCUCCAGCAGUCAAAACCCUACACAUAACUUUUGAUUCCCCAACACUUACAUACUAAUAGCCUAAUAUUGAUCAAAAGGAAACCUUAUUGAUAACAUAGAUAGUUGGCUAAUACAUGUAUUGUAUGCUCUAUAUGUAAUAUACUAUAUUCAUAAUAAAGUAAGCUAGAGAAAAGAAAAUAUUCUUAAGAAGAUUAUAAGGAAGAAAAAAUACAUUUAUGGUACUGUACAGUAUUGAUCAAAAAAACACACUUAUAAGUGUGCCUACACAGUUCAAACCCAUAUUGUUCAAAGAUCAUCUGUAUACUUAUCUCCAAAAUCAUCAGGUUGUAUACAACAAAUAUGUAUGACUUUCUUUAUGUCAAUAAUAUUUUAGUAAAGUGGCUUAAAAAUAUCAUGAAGAACUGGAGCUGAUCCAAAAGAAUAUACUGGACUAUUCUUUAAUCGAAUCAAGAAGUAUAAUUCUAUUUAGAGAAACUGCAAGAAAUCUUCAUGGGAAGGGACUGUAACAAAAGAAACGGAGUUCAGAGUUCAUUUCUUUAAAGAAGUAGAUUACCUCAGGCAGUGGGAACUUUUCCAUUUAUUUCAUUGGGUUAGAUUUGAAAAAUGAUUAUUUCUUAGAAUGUUUCUAAUUGAUCUGUGAAUAUAUCUAUCACACAAAGGGGCUUCAGACAAUUAACUAUCUUCUUGUUCUUCAAAUAUUUCCCCUUUGAGUAUCAUUCCCUUUUGAUAUACUGAUUACAGAAUAAGACAUAUUGGAGCAUCUGAUCUGAUGUUGUAACUUAAAAGUGGGCAGAAUGAUUAGUAGUGCUUGAGUGUAGCAGCAAUUACUUAUGCAAAGCAGAUUUCUGUAUUUUUCAGCUUUGCUGAGGUAAAAUUGACAUACAAAACUGUAAUAUUUUUAAAGUGUACAACAUGAUAAUUUGAUAUAUGUAUAAAUUGUGAAAGGAUUGUUCCCAUUGGGUUCAUUACCACAGCCAUCACCUCAUAUAUUUACCUCCCACAUUUUUUUGGUGAGAACAUUUAAGUUCUAUUCUUAGAAAAUUUUAAUUAUGUAGUACAACAUUAUCAACUAUACUCACAAUGUGACACAUUAGAUAUUCAAACCUUAUUUAUCAUAUAACAGGAAGUUUAUAUGCUUUCACCACCAUCUCUAUUUCUCCCACAUCACUAAUCAUCAGGAAAAUGCAAAUCAAAACCAAGAGGAGAUAUCACCUCACACCUGUUAGAAAGGUUAUUAUCAAAAAGAUAAGAAAUAACAAAUGCUGGCAAGGAUACGGAGAAAAGGGAACCCUUGUACACUGCUGUGGGGAUGUAAACUGGGUCAGAUGCUAUGGAAACAGAAUAGAGUUUCCUCAAGAAAUUAAGAAAAUAGAACUACCAUAUAACCUAGCAAUUCUAUUUCUGGGUCUAUAUCCAAAGGAAACAAACCAUUAUCUUAAAGACAUAUCUGUACUUCUGCAUUCAGUAUAGCAUUAUGUAUAAUAUCCAAGAUAUAGAAAUAUGUUGGGUCUAUCAAUGAGUAAACAGAUCAAGAAUAUAAGACAGCCAUAAGAAAGAAGAAAAUCCCUGGGCAUCUGGGUGGCUCACUGGGUCAAGUGGCUGAUUCUUGAUUUUGUCUCACGUCAUGAUCUCACAGUUCGUGAAAUCCAGCCCCACGUGGGGCUCUGUGCUGAUAGUGUGGGGCCUGCUUGGGAUGUUCUCUCUCCCUCUAUUUCUCAAAAUAAAUAAACAUUAAAAAAAAGUAAUAAGGAAAUCUUGUAAUUUACCACAAUAUGGAUGAAUUCUGCAGGGCAUUAUGGUAAGUGAAAUAAGCAAGACAGAGAAAGAUAAAUGUUUAUGGUGGUAUUACUUAUAUUGGGGGGGGAGUCAAACUCAUAGAUUUAUGCAUUUUAGUUAAACUCAAAGUUAAAGAGUUUACCUCCCUCUACUUCUAGUGUAAGUGAUUAUGUAUUUUUGUGGUUAUAAAGCUAAAAGAAAUGCUCUCUUAAUAUUCCUUAUAGAAAAAAAUUCUCUCAAAACUUUCACUAUUAUAGUGAAACCAUUGUGGCAGAGAUAUAGAGGUAGUAUAAUUUGCUAUCAUCUAUGCAUAUCUUUGGAACUGAACUCAAAGAACUCACUUUUAUUUGUCACCAGAGAAAGUGCAUGUUAGAACUAAAGAAGAAAUGAAGGUAUGGGAGAAAAAGAAACUGAGGUAGAGAGAGGACAAAAUAGGGGAAGUACUAUAAGGUAUGGACUCAAAUGUUGUGUGCUUUAUAACAAAUUAAAUUCUUUGAAAGUAAAGAAUUUAGGUAUCUAUUUCAGCCAAUUGACAGACUUAGCAUCUUCACCAAUUCUAAACUUUAAAAAUUCUUAAAACAGUCCUUAAAGUGUUUUAAAAUUCUAUUACAUGCAGUGAUGAGCCAGCACAACAAACAAACAAAAAACAAACAGAAAAAAAAAACAAAGUAAUAGUAUAUAGGUUAAAAAGUAAGUGAAGGCAAUGAUUUAGAGAAGGAAGAUAAGCUUCAGCUUACGUUCGUUUUAAGGAUAUUUACUGAUCCAUGGCAAGGUGAAGGCUUUAAUGAGAGACCCAUCAUAAAACAAGCAUCACAAAGAACUAUAGCUUCACUGGAGAGAUGAGCAGCAGACAUAAACCUUGUCUCCUCACCCCAUGUCCCGUGUACUCCUAGGAAAAUUGCUUAUCUUGUACCUUGAUGCUGAACAGAUGGAAAAUCACAUUCCUGAAAAUUGCUUAUGAUACGCAUUACCUAUGUAAUAUAUUAUAAUACUGCUCAUUAAACAUUCAUUCUCCUAUCCCAUUCUGUGUUCAGAGGACUUUGGGAUUGCCAUUGACUUUGGCAUUGUCAUAGGACUCUAUCUGACCAACGGAAAAUGAGUAGACCUUCACAACUGUGAAGUUCCUUAUCUCUACCAUAACUGCAUGGUCCAGUGUCAAUGCACCUUCAGGCUAGAAACAAGAAAAGACAUGUGAUAUGAUCCUGAACCUGACCUACAGCCUGGAGCUGAGCACUCCAGAACUUUAAGAUUAUAAGGAGGAGAUAAAUUAUUAUUGUUUGUAAGCCACAGAGUUUACAAGACAGUUCAAAUGCAUCAUUAUACAAAAUGACUAAUAAGCAUUCUUAUAGAUUUACAAUCUAAAAUGUCACUCUCUAGGCAGUCUGAAAGUCUCAUGCUGAAAAUUUAGUCUACGGUUAUCUCCAAUAAAUAAUGCCUAAAGGAGAAAGAAAUAAUCUUUUCUAAAUAGCUCAUGGUUAUCUUUAAACCCAAAGUAUUCUCACAGAAAAAGCUUCAAGGAAAAUGAGUAACUUAAAGCAAAGACCGCACGUGCACAUACACAUACACACGCAGAUGGAAACAGGAUACCAUGAACAACAAUCAUUCAUCAGACACAGAAUAUUAUAUAAUUAUGUUUAUUUUUAAAAAUUACUUCAAGUAUAAUUUACAUAAAAUAAAAUAUUCCCAUUUUAAUGUGCAGUUAGUUUUGGCAGAUGUAUUCAGUGAUGUUAACAUCAUCACGAAUGAUAUAGAAUCUCUCCUUCAUCCAAAAAGUUACAUGUACCACUUUGCACUCACACUGUCCCUCACAUCUGGCUCUAGACAACCACUGGUCUUCCUCUAUCACUAUUGGUAAGAUUCACUUUCCUUAGAAUUUCAUAAAAAUGGAAUAAUACAGUAUGUUCUUUUUGUUCUGGAUGCUUUCAUUUAGCAUGUUUUUGACUUUUAUCCAUGUUAUUGAUGUCAAUUAUGUAUACCUCUUCAUAUCUCAGUAGUGUUUCAUUACACAGAUAAACAUCAGUGUGUUUCAUGGGAACACAUUGGACAUUUUGUCCAGGUUUUUGCUAUUAUAAGUAAAACUGCCAGAUACAUUCAUGUGGCAAUUUUUGUGAGGUGAGAUGUUUUCAUUUCUCUUGAGUAAAUACCAAUAAAAGGAAUUGCUGGGUCUUAUGGUAGGCAUAUGUUUAAUAUUAUAAGAAACCACCACAUUGUUUUCCAAAGUAAUUAUAUCGUCUUACAUUUCCACCAGCAAUGUAUGAGAAUUCAAUUGCUUCACCUUCUUAAAAACACUUGGUGUUGUCAGUGUUUAUAUUUUGUUUUGGCUUUGUCAUUUGCAUUUCCCUAAUAACUAAAGUUGAGAAAAAUUUUCAAGUUCUGUUUAUUUGUAUAUCUUCUUUUACAUAGUGUUUAUUCAAAUAUUUUGUAAGUUUUUAUCUUUGUUUUCUUAUUAUUGAGGUUCAUGGGGUUCAUUAUAUAUUAUGGAUGCAAGUUUUUGUCAGAUACUUCUUUUGCAAAUAUCUUCUCCUAGUAUAUACCUACUUUUUUGUGUUCCUGAUGUAGUCAUUCUAGGAAAAGCUUUAAUUUUGUUAAAGCCCAAUUCAUCUUCACUUUCAAAUUUUUUGAAUCUUAUUUUUUGCAUCCUAUUUACCAAGUUAUUGACUAUCUCAAGACUAAAAAGGUAUUAUCUUAGGACUUUUUUUCUCAUACUUUUUUUCUACUGCUUUUAUAGUUUUAGCUUUUAUAUAUAGGGCAACGAUAGUUUCCAAGUUAAUUUUAUAGAGAGUAAGGUAAAAGUUUUAUUUUUUUUAAAGUAUGAAUAAGGAAUUAUACCAUAGUUUGUUAAAAAAGGUUACUCUUUCCCUGAUAAAUUCAUUUGGUACAUUGAAAGGAACAUUAUAUAUACAUAACUACAUGUGAACUUUUUUCUGCUAAUUGUCAAUGUGUCUAUCCUUCAAUCAGUAGCAUACUUCUUGAUGAACAUAUCUUCAGGAUAAAUGUUGGAAUUAUGUAAUAUAUAUCUUCUAAAUAUGUUUUUCCCCCAAAUAAUUGAAGUUAAUCUAAAUGCUUUGUAUUUCUGUGUCAAGUAGAAGAUGAUUUUUUUUACAUUUUUAAAAAAAACUUUCUUGGGACUUUGAUUUGAUCUUGUUGAAUUUAGAGAGCAAAUUGAUAAGCAUUGACUUUUUGGGAUACCUGUGUGGCUCAGUUGGCUAAGCGUCUGACCCUUGAUUUAGGCUCAGGUCAUGAGGUCACAGUUCAUGAGGUUGAGCCCCACAUCGGGCUCUGUGCUGACAGUUCAGAGCCUGCUUGGGAUUUGCUCUCUCCUUCUCUCUCUGUGCCCCUCCCCUGCUCAUGCUCUCUCUGUCAAAAUUAAUAAACAUUAAAAAAAAAAAGGAUUGGCUUCUUAACUAUAUUUAGUUACCCAACCAGUGGACAGAAUAAAUCUCUCAAUUUAUUUAUAUCUUCUUUAAUUUCUCUCAGCAGUACUUUGCAGUUUUCAGUGAACAUGUUUCUCACAUAUUCUGAAAAAACACCCUAAGUAUUUCAUGUUUUUAAUAGUACUGUAAAUGGUAAUUUUGAAUUUCCCUUUCCAGCUAUUUACCUCUAGCAUAUAGAAUUAAAGCUAAAAUGUAGUCCAUACAUUAUCAGGGCUGUGAUGCCACAGCCCUGUAAGUAUAUUAGCAUAUCAAAUCUUAUAAUGUCUUUCAAAAGAUAACACUUGUCCUUGUCUCAUACUCCAGAGCAAAAAAAGCCUGCAUACUGAUUUCGACUUGCCCACUGGAGACCUCCAUGCCAGUGUUGGGUCAGGAUUGUUUCUGUGUACCUUCUGGUGGAAGGAUGAGCACAAUGCCUGGACUCCCUACCAAGACCUGUGUUUAUGGUAUUGAUUUUGACUCUGAAAAGAAACAGGUGUAUGGGCUGUCCAUCUUCAAGAAGCUACUGUGAAAGUUUGGCCCCUGUCUUAUCCAGGCCUACUGUCUCUUAGAAAGUAUAGGGAAGUCAAGGGAAGUCAGCCUCUGCCUGGAAAAUCUUCUAUAAUAAAUAGUUGGAUUUUCCUCCAGCAGCCUUUCUCUGGUUCUAUGUGUUUGUAAUUGAUUGAUGUAUCUUCUUGAUGGAUUGAUUCCUUAAUCAAUGUUAUGUUCAACAUCAAUGUAAUGUUCUUUGUCCAUUGUUA